rnacentral:lncRNA from 1 species
CACACACACACACAAAAUUCAUAGGUCAAACAAUAAACAUCAUUUUAAAAUUCCAAAUCUAACGAACAAAGUUUGUAAAAGAAUGACGCAAAGAUUGUGUAUGAUGAUGAUGAUGAUGACAUUGAUAAUGUCAGGAUGUCAUCUAAAAUCAUGCAAUGGAGUGGAAAGCUUGUCAAAGGAAGACCAUCACUCAUCAACAUCUACCUCACCGUACGUAUGUUACACUCACAUUCAAACUAAUUUCAAACCAAAUGUGUGUCAAUAUAUAUGUAUAUAUAUGUUUAUGUUAACAUAUACUAUUUAUUCAUGAUUUCUGGAUUUAUGCAGGAAGGAAAUAGUAAUUAAUCAACCUCCUCAAAUAGUUCCAAACCCUAUAUGCAUAAGGAAUUGUCGCGUCAAAUGUGGCAGUAACGUAGAUUGUGCAAGAAAGUGCCUAAUUAAUUGUUGAUGCUCAGAUCUCAAAUCAUUAUGUUCUAUCUCGAUGUGUAAAGGAGAUUUAUAACUCCUUUCAAUAAAUAAAAAUUAAAGACUAAUAAAAUAUAUUUAAUUAUUUAAACAAAUCUACUAAACAAAUUCUAUGCAAAUAUUUUAUUAAGAUUUACGAACUCGGUCCAAUAAGUUAUUAGAUAAGUUUACAAGUUAGGCCCAUUUAAGUUGUCCACAGCCCAAUAAUAAUUUCCAAAUCGUCGGUUCAUACACCUCCGCGACUCGGUUCCCCAAUCUCAAAUUCCCAAAUGUUUCACUGAGUCGACUCGACCUCCUCAUAUCCCAAAAGUGAGAUCUUCUUCUUCUUUUUUAUCCGUGAUUACAAAGUUUUAAUCUUGCAAUAGCUUCUCGUUCAGUUUUCGCUACAGAUUUUGUUCGAAUUUGAAAUUUAUGGAUUUUGGGUUCAAGAAUCUCGGUUUUGCUCUUUACUUGAUUAUGAACAUCUCGACGGAGUAACUAAUUUGUGUUCGAAUUGGUUUGUUUAGAGUAGAAAUGUAGUUUUUGUCGAUGAUACUGGAUCUAGGGUGGUUUUGGAACUGAUGUUGUAAACCAUGUCUUGUCUGUCUUAAAACAAGAUGUGUAUCAUAUUUUCAUGUAAAUCGAUUAUGAAGAAGAGCUUGUAGUUGUAUCUAGAUGUUGACACAAUGUCAUAGUUCUUGUUUUGUCUGAUUUCAUUGAUCAUUAUAUCUCUCUUAUGAUCUAAGACUGAUUUUGGUUUUUUUUAGAAUUUCUUGUUUGGGUUUUAAAGGCAAAACGAGAUUACAAUGGCACCAUCACGUAACAUAGUUGUAGCCACCGGUCUGGUUGUUUUCGCAUCUGCAGGCUUAGUAUUCCCCUUUUACAUGGCGUAAGAAUCCUCUUUUCUCUCUCAAAUGUUAAAUCUUGUCUGAUCUUGUGGUAUGUAUGACAUUUUGCAUUUUCCUCUUGACUCCUUUUGUUGCAGAUCGUCGAAACAGCCAGUGAUCGAUCCAACAAAACCGUUACCUCCUCAAGCAACGUUUAGAGGACCUUACAUAAACACUGGUUCACGCGAUGUUGGACCUGACCAUCGAACUUACCCAAAGAAAUGAUCCAAUCAAGUCAAGAUAAUCAAGCAGGUGUUUUCAUUGUGACCUCUAUACAUUCAUAUAGACAAUAUCGUUUUGAAGUUUGUGCUCGAAUCCAUGUAACUCGUUAUGCUUCAUGUAAACUAUCAGAAAUUAUUUUUAUAAACACCAGUCCAACCUAACCAUUGAAUGAAACUGAAGAAUCGGAUUUAAUAAACAGCUUAAGAACUUGUUUUGUAUUGUCAUAAAAGUUCUGAAAGAUGUAUUAUCGAAAGCACAAAAAAUUUGGUUCAGAUACAAAUGAAAAUUUGCAACCUUCUGAUUUUGUUAGUGACCCAUAAAUUCUCAACUUUUCGCCAAGUUUCAACAUUCCUCUCAACCCAAAACAGCUAUCAAAGUUUAGAAAUUUAUGCAAUGAGAAUCAUAAAGUUUCGAUUUUUUUUUAGAUUACUAUAUAAAUUGACAGAUUUAAGAAGUAGAAUAUUGAAAUUGCAAAAGAACACUGAUAAAUCAAGGAGAAUUUCAUAACCGUGCCAUAGUUAAAAACCCUAAAUCCCAAAUUACAUAAUCAUCAAGAUACCCAAUAGCAUAAACUCUAUUUCACAUUCCAACUACUACUACUACUUCACCUCCAUUACAAAACACAUUCCAAAUCUAAGUACUCGUAAACUUCGUAACCGCCUUAGUCCCUUCAGAAACAGCAUGUUUCGCCAACUCACCAGGCAACACAAGUCUCACCGCCGUCUGAAUCUCCCUAGAAGUAAUCGUCGGCUUCUUGUUGUACCUCGCAAGCUUCGAAGACUCACCAGCAAGCUUCUCAAAGAUAUCGUUGAUGAAACUGUUCAUGAUUCCCAUGGCUUUGCUUGAGAUUCCGAUAUCUGGGUGGACUUGCUUCAACACCUUGAAGAUGUAGAUCUUGUAUGUCUCGACGUUCUUCUUUGAUCUCUUCUUCUUCUUGUCUCCGGCGACUGCUGGUUCCCUUGGGAGCUUUUUGCCGGCUUUUGGUUUCUUCUCUGCCGCCGCUGCGGGUUCGGCUGCCGGAGUUUUCUCUGCCGGUUUCUUCUCCGCUGGUUUCUUGUCUGCCUUCGCCAUUUUCAAAUGCUUAAACUUUUCAAGAGAGUGAGAAUUUGUUGUGUUGGUUUUUGAUUUGAUUCUUCAUUCUUCGAGACUCGUGUGUUUAUUUAUAUAGGAGUAUAGGAAGAGAUCUGAUUGGUUGAGAUACUGAGACGCGGAUUGAUGACGUGGUGAUAUGAAGGUUGUUCGAUGAGGGGUUUUGGUGAAUGAAUGGUUCAGAUCUAUUUUUGACUUUAAUGCGCGAGUGAUUUUUUAAGUGAUUUUCCAAAUAUGAAAUAUCGAAAAUUCGAAAAUUUUCAGUUGCGCUUUUUGUUAUCCGCCAUAAGUUCGUUCAUGAGGCGGCAAAAGAGCGAAAUAGUUUUUGGCGUGGAUAGCUGACGUGGCUAUGUUUGAUCCGCCCAAUAAUGCACGGCUACGAUUACGUCUUUGCUAUUUAACAUGAUGGAAAUGAAAAAUUAAUGCAUAAUUUAAACCCUUUUCAAAAAAGAAAAAGAAAAUUCUUUUAAAAUGACCAGCUUUUUAGUUAUUUUUAUUGAUAUAUUAUACACAAUUUUAAAAUUUUGUAUAAAGAACAAAAAUAAACAUUAAGCUCAGCUUGAUACUAAGCUAUAUUUGAUAUAUGAAUCGAACAUAAUUUUGUAGUUGAGGUAUGAAAAAUUAUUUUUCCCGCAUUUGUACGUUUAUUUUUUUUUUACCAUUACAUAAAUGUUCAAAUACACCGCUUUAAGCACUAUUUUUAACAGAGUUAACGAUAUGUUUCUAAUUUUCUAGCAUCUGUUAAUAUUGACGAUGUAAAUUAAAUACACACAAAAACUGGAAGAAAUGAUUUUUCAUUUCUAUUUUUAGUAUUACAAAAUGUUUUAUAGCUAAAUAGUUCGUGAUUAUGGGGUUUUUUCUUAAAAAUCAUGGUAGAUUAGUUGUUCAUUAAUAUUGAGAAGUGGGAGAAGUGUUAAACAUAAAUUGUGAUUCUCACUGAUUCCACAUAUUUUUGUGAUUAGUGAAAAUCUAUUAAUUAUACCCAUCAUCAGAACCAAAAAUCAUUUGUAACAUUAACGUUAAUGCACAAGUCGGGGACGCUGUGAUACAACUUUGUAUAGUAUCUUUGUGUCAUUAAUUUAGAAACUCGUGAAAGAAGACAAAAAAAAAAAAGAGAGAGAGAAAGUUGAAUGCACAAGUCAUUUCUUUGAGAUACGUCCAUGAAAUCUCUUUCGAACUAGAAUUCCUAUAAUCUUACUUUAGUGUGAUUGUUGUUGGCGGCUGGGACGACCCAUGUGCCGGUACGUGGCCCAAGAACAAAGAAACGUGGCUCAUAAGCUUGUCUUUCCUAGAAAAUUUAGUCCCACAAGAGCAAACCCACUUUAUAUCCCCACAAUGCUUCUCGUGCGUCCUAAGAUCAGACAGAACCGAGAAAUGCUUCACACUACAUCUCCUGCACAUAUACAUUUUAGGACAAUGACUCCUCUUGUAAUGAUUCUUGGCACAAAUCACAGAUUUCAACGGUUGGAACUUCUCGUGUCUCUGGUUCCAUCUACACCCUUGAUGAGGGCACGAGUAGUAAUGUUUCUUCAACGUGUAUUCUCCUUUCUUUUCUUGGCUCGUUGGGCUGAUCAAUGCCUCGCGUGUCUUGUACUCAUCCCCGUGCGCUCUCAUGUGCAUCCUUAGAUUCGCGUCUCUCUUAAACCCUUUCCCACAAAUCUGGCAGUAAUGCGUGUAUUUCGCUAGUAGGUCCGCUACGUCUAGCUCCAAUAUCUCGUAGUUCCCGGGUUUUGGUUUAGAACGAUGUUUAUCUUUUUUAGGAUUUAGGGUUUCUGUGUCAUACCAGUCAUGAUUCUGGUUAGGAAACGAGACAUGUCCUCUUUCUUGGACACCAAAAAGGUUGGUCGACUCUUGCACAAAAUCAUGACCCGGGUCGGUUUCUUGUCGGGAAAACUCCAAAACCAUUGCAUCUACGGUGUGAUCGUUAUCGAUAUCGUUGCUGUUGUUAGAUCCGAUGUGGAGUUGUUGGCAAGUGUACAACAUGGAUGAAGCAGCCGUAAUGAUCUCUUGAACCAAACUUCCGAUGUUAGCCACGGCCAAAGACGUUGACCCCGAGUAUUGAUUAAUGUUAUUACUAGAUAUCAUGUAGAAGCUGACCAGAGAUUGGAUCUGAUGGACUUUGUCUUGUAAGGUAGACAGAUUAUAUAGAAGGGAGAGUGAAACGUCGUCUUCUUCCAAUGAUUUUGCCCCGGCCGCGGUCACGGGAUUAAGGGAGAUUUGUUUUGAGGAAGUACUGGUCGUCCCGGAGAAGCUAGACAUUGAUCCUUCUCCUUUAUUUGUAAUAUGCUCAUCUCGAUUCAUCGUAUGUAUAUGAAGACUCUAGCCUGAGUUUUGUUCUUAAAUUUUCUUUUGAUUUUGUUGACUCUUUAAAUUCUUUAUGGUAUAUUUGUUUCAUAUAUAUGCCAGACGGUCCAGACUCUAGAGAGAUGCAUUGAAGAAGACACCCUACCCUCUACCGUAUAAAAUAGAGAUCUAUAAACACACAAAAUAACACACGCACACAAACAAAUACGUGUGACAUAUACUAAUAUUCCUUCGUUUCCAAAACCACUUUUGAAGUUAAUUUUUGUAUAGAUAGAAACAAUUUUAGUUUUUUACGAAGCGUUUAUUGUAAAACAGUUUUUUUGGUAACUACUCCCUCCGUUUCAUUUUAGUUGUCGUUUAAGGUUUUCUCACACAAAUUAAGAAAAUCAUUAAAUUUUAUGUUUUACCCUUUAUUAAUAUAUUUUAUAAAAAAAUUCAUUGGCCGAAACAUUAAAAUAGUAGGGAUAAAACUGGAAUUUUUACCAAACAUUUGCAUCGAAAACCUAAAACGACAACUAUUAUGAAACAAAAUUUUAAUUCUAAAACGACAAGUAAAACGAAACGGAGGGAGUACAAUUUUACAUUUAUUAAAAGAAAGAUUAUACUUCCACCUUAUCACUUCUAUUAAGUGAUGUUUUAGCCAAAAAAAAUUUGUUUCAUUUUAAGUGAUGUUUUUAAUUUUCUAUGUAAAAAUUUAUAUUUAAUUUUGUUUACUAAUCAUAUUUUAUAAUAUAUUUUUUUAUUGGUUGAAUUCAUUUUAUUUAAUGAUGUUUUUAUGUAAAUAAUGUAAAUUAAAUGAAAAUGAUUUGUUAUCUUAAUUUGUGUAAAAACCUUAAACAUCACUUAAAAUGAUAUUGAAGAAGUACUAAAAUUCCGUGAAAUUUUUAAAAAUAAGCUAUUGAACCUAACGAUAUUUUGAACCUUGCAGUUUAUUAGUGAUUUAAAAAUCGAAUAGACGGUCAACUAAUAUUAAAUUUUAUUUAAAUUGACAUCUAGACGUCUUUAUAAAUCCCAAUAUUUUUUAAUACCUAGCUAACGAUAUUUAAAAUUAUGAGUUUAUGGAAAAUAUAUAUAACAUAAUACAAAUAUGCAAUAUAAAGUUGUCUUUUUACAAAAGUAAUAUGCAAUAUAAGGAUUUUGAUUAACUCGGAUGCUGGCAAGAGACAACGCUAGAAAAGUUCAUAUUAGACUAAGUUUUUGUCGUCAUGAAUGAUGUUUUUCUUCUCUUUAAAUGCAUUUGUCAUGUAUAUGAAUUCUUUACAUUGGGUUGAAAAUGGAAUAAUAGAAGUAUGUGAUGUGAUUAGGACUAACUCGGAAGUCAACUAGAGAGAGCAAAAAGGACCAUCCCCACAUAAAUCCUCCCCCGCAUAUUACCUUAACAAGACUUUGUCAGCUACUUCUUAAAAUAAACGAAGAAGGUCAAUCCCGAUGUAAUUAAAUAGUGAUUAACCUAAGUCAAGUGUUAGUGUUCUUUCAUGGCCUUUUCUUCAUGUAUUCUUUGGAUAUACAAUACAAUCAUAUAACUGUCAAGUGUCAAGCUCACAUAAUAUCUUAUGUCACAUCUAUAUCCAAAACUUAAAAAAAAAACAAAUUGCGACUACAUUCAGUUCUUAUCUGCUUACAUGCACAAAAAUUGUAUACGCGUGCAUAUAUGAUUGGAUCUUACAUGGAAAUGUCUAUAAUGUGGCCAUUGGCAUGAGUUGCAAUUAUGUUAAAUAAUUUUUGCUAAUGCGUGUUCAUUUUUUAAUUUCGAAAGAAGUAGUUUUAUUGAUGACAAAUCAAAAUUUCUAUGAAGUGUGAUUAUAUGGUGAUCAAUGCUGUUUUUGGGAUUAGCUUUACAUUAUUUUUUGGCUUUUAGAAUGUAACGUUAAUUAACGCUUUUUAAAAAAUUAGUUGCUGCUAGCCUGCUACCAUUACAGCGACAGUGUAUUUCACGUGCCAACAAGCUUCUGUUUGAAUGAUUCUAGUAGAAUUUUAUUGUUUCCAUUGAAAAUCGAUAAACUGUAAUGCAACUAACCUACGUAGCUCUCUUAAUUUUCUCCGGCUUCUAUUUUUUUAAAAUCAACUACUUUAAUUUUCAAGUUUCCAACAUGUAACAAAAAAAUGCAAGGAAAAAAAAAUAAAGUAAGCAAGACCUUGUGUGGCUGGGGGUUCGAACUCCACUUUCCCUAUUAUUAAUUUGUCAAAUAAAAAGAAAAUGGAAAAAAGAAAUCACAAAUGAAUGUUGGAUAAUUAUGCUUGCCACCCAAGAUAACUAGUUUUGCUUGGCAAAUUCAAAUUCCUCCAAUCUAAUCACCGGGACAGGAGCAAGAACACGAGAUCAAAGAUGAUUACUCGUCGUCAUAAUCUGAAAUGCCAUCGGAAUCACCGGAGAAAAUAGCAGUGGCACAUGCAUGGUUUGGCCGUAGGUUGGUUUCUAGUUUCCUUCUUCACCUUUGGCAUUUGUCUGUUGUAGUUUGCUCAAUCAAUUACCCGUAAAUUAGCAGAAUUAAGUUGUAACCUGUAAAAACUAACAAAAAUCAGACAAUCCUUUAAAUAAAAAUAUAUUUAUGUCGCCGGCGAAACCUGUUUCUUGUUGGUUACUUUUGCCCAUUCAUUAUUUACUAUUAUUAGGGUUUUAAAACCCAGAUGAUCACUUGUUCCUUAGAUUCUGUUACCUAAACAGUAAAAGAAGAAUAAAUUCAUAUAAAAGAAUCAAAUCUUUGUAAUCCAUCUCCGAUCACAUUGCUCCUGGAAUCUUUUUUUUGAUCUGUUUCAUUGAGGGUUUGUCAUCAAUGGAGGAGUUUGGAGAUAAUAAGAUGCUUUACUUGAGAGACACAUGGAGACAAGGAACCAUGAUCUGUGACGUCUUACCUAUCAACCCUAGCUCCAAUGGUGUUUGGCCGGAACCAAAAUUCUCAGAUCCUAACAUUAAUGUUCAUUUCUGGAAUUACACGUUUCCACACUUGCAAAUGAUAUUUCUCAUCAUCUCUUUCCUCUGGCAAUUCUUGCAUUUCUUCCUCCGACGUCUCGGCAUGAUCCGUUUCACUUCUCAUAUGCUUGUAAGUAUUCGAAAAUCUCGAAAACGAUUUUCUUUUCUUGUUGUCUGGAUUUGAAAUCUGAGGUUUGUGUUGAUCUUUUUUUUGUAGACUGGUGUUCUUUUAAGCAAGUCUUUUCUAAAGGAGAAUUCAGCGGCCAGAAGAUUCUUUUCUACAGAGGAUUACAAAGAGAUUGUGUUUAGUCUCACUGCUGCUUGUUCUUACAUGAUGUUCUGGUUCUUGAUGGGAGUUAAAAUGGACAUGGGUUUGAUCCGAACCACGGGAAGAAAAGCCAUUACCAUAGGGAUCUCCUCUGUUUUACUUUCGACGUUAGUUUGUUCCGUUAUCUUCUUCGGAAACUUGAGGGACGUUGGAACCAAGAACUCGGAUCAUACUCUCAAUUCAUUGGAGACUGUUGUGAUUUACUCGAUUCAAUGUCUUUCGUCUUUCCCCGUUGUUGGAAACCUUCUUUUUGAGCUCAGGCUACAGAACUCAGAGCUUGGUCGUUUAGCGAUGUCUUCUGCUGUGAUAAGUGAUUUCAGCACCUCGGUUCUCGCUUCUGCUCUCAUCUUUAUGAAGGAGCUUAAGGACGAACAAACACGGCUCGGGAGCGUGUUUAUAGGUGAUGUUAUUGCUGGGAAUCGUCCUUUGAAGCGAGCAGCGAUAGUGGUUCUCUUUGUUUGUCUUGCCAUCUAUGUUUUCAGACCUUUAAUGUUCUACAUUGUUAAACAAACGCCUUCCGGUCGUCCCGUUAAGGCAAUCUACUUAACUACAAUCAUUGUUAUGGUCUCUGGAUCAGCCAUUCUUGCGAAUUGGUGCAAGCAAUCUAUUUUCAUGGGACCUUUCAUCUUAGGUCUUGCAGUUCCUCAUGGUCCUCCUUUAGGUUCUGCAAUCAUUCAGAAGUACGAGUCCGCUAUAUUCGGAACUUUUAUUCCGUUUUUCGUUGCUUCAUCUUCCACGGAGAUUGACAUUUCGGCUUUAUUUGAUUGGGAAGAUCUCAGUGGCAUUAUUCUCAUCAUGAUAACAUCUUUCGUUGUCAAAUUCAUCUUGACUACUGUUGCUGCUUUGUUCUAUCGUAUGCCGAUGGAAGACUGCUUCGCUAUAUCUCUUAUCAUGUCUUUUAAAGGCAUCUUCGAGCUCGGUGCCUAUGCCUUGGCCUACCAAAGAGGGGUAUGUAUACACACAUAAUGACUUCAAACUCAUAAUCAUUCUAUACAAAACUCUAUCGCAUGUUAAUGCUUUGAACAUUGCAGUCUGUCCGUCCAGAGACCUUCACUGUCGCGUGUCUUUACAUAAUGUUGAAUUCCGCAAUCAUUCCUCCGAUCUUGCGGUACUUAUACGAUCCUUCGAGGAUGUACGCGGGGUACGAGAAGCGGAAUAUGCAGCACCUGAAACAAAACUCUGAGCUAAGGAUUCUGUCUUGCAUUUACAGAACCGAAGAUAUAAGUCCAACGAUCAAUCUUCUCGAAGCUACUUGUCCGUCCCGGGAAUCUCCUGUAGCAUCCUACGUCCUCCACUUGAUGGAGCUGGUAGGACAAGCCAAUCCGAUUUUCAUUUCUCACAAAUUGCAAACUCGCAGAACAGAGGAGACGUCUUAUUCAAACAAUGUACUUGUCUCCUUUGAAAAAUUCCACAAAGAUUUUUAUGGCUCGGUCUUCGUAAGUAUCUACACGGCCUUAUCUAUGCCUGAUACAAUGCACGGAGACAUCUGUAUGCUUGCUCUUAACAACACUACUUCCCUCAUACUCCUUCCUUUUCACCAAACUUGGUCUGCUGACGGAUCCGCUCUCAUCUCAAACAGCAACAUGAUCAGGAACCUUAACAAGAGCGUUCUCGACGUGGCACCGUGUUCUGUCGGAAUCUUUGUAUACCGAAGCAGUUCCGGACGGAGAACCAUCAAUGACACCGUUUCAAACUUAUCAUCUUACAAUAUAUGUAUGAUCUUCCUAGGCGGUAAAGACGAUAGAGAAGCAGUGACACUUGCAACACGAAUGGCCCGUGACCCGAGAAUCAACAUAACUGUUGUCCGAAUGAUCACUACCGAUGAGAAAGCACGAGAAAACUCAGAGUGGGAUAAAAUGCUUGACGAUGAAAUACUUAGAGAAGUGAAGAGCAAUACAUUAGUAGACAUUUUCUACUCGGAGAAAGCGGUUGAAGACGCGUCUGAGACAUCGGGUUUGCUGAAAUCGAUGGUAAGCGAUUUCGAUAUGUUCAUAGUGGGAAGAGGGAAAGGAAGGAAGAGUGUGUUCACAGAUGGGCUUGAGGAAUGGAGUGAGUUUAAGGAGCUUGGUAUUAUUGGGGACUUAUUGACUUCACAGGAUUUUAAUUGCCAAGCUUCUGUUUUGGUUAUACAACAACAACAGCUAAUGAUUUAGGUUCUUAUGUAAACAAUCAUUUUGCAAUUUUACCCUUUCAUUAUAGUCUUAGAUAUUUAAUUGUAAGAAAAAGUAUUCUUUUGUAAAUUUUUGCUUAGUCCAUUCAAAUGUAACUUUUUGGAAAACUCACUUAAUUAGCUCUGUUAUAUAUGUAAUCGCAUAAAGUUUGGCCCAACAACCAUAUUAAUCUUAAGAGAGGGACUUAUAGAAAAUCAGGUUUUUUACCACUUAAAAUGUGUAAGACUAACAUAUAUUUAUUUAAUAUAGGAAAUCUAAUGAUGUAAAUACAAGACAUUUCACUUAUUUUCAAUAUGUUUCACUACUGGAAUCUUUGUUCUAUUUGAGCUCGGGUGAAAAAUGGAGAUAUAUUACUUUUGAAUUUUUUAUUACAUAACCUGUAUUUAGAAAUCAUUGGAUAUGAUUCAUUGGUAUGGUAUUAGAACUACACAUUACUCGUAUUCUUUUCAUUAAAGCUCGGUGAAUAUUGCAAAUUUGUUUGUUAGCAGUAGGUGUUUGCUUCAACAAAGCGUCAAGAUUUAGAUAUUGGAAAUAAUUCUGUGCAAACAUAAUUUUGAUAAAUAACUGGGCAGAGUAGUACGAAAUGGAUUGUUUGAUAUAUACUAUUUUAGGAAUCAUGCAUGAGUUUCCAAUUCAAAAACAGUUUUGUAAUGUAUGGGAUUAACCAAUGUUUUUUAGAUAAAUUAUAUCAAAUCUAUCUCAACGUCAAAUGUAAGAAAUUCUAACAUUUACCCAUGAUUUGAGUAUAAUUUAAAUUUUGUGUUGAGAUCAUUGACAUAUGUUACACUCAUUCAUGUUGUUGCUGUUGUUGAACUACUAAAACAGAAACCCUAGUUUUUAAAUCUUUGGAUGCAAGCAAAUCUCCAAUGACUCCUAACUCCGGAAGCUCCAUCCACUGUGCCAAUCCUGUGACAUCCAACGAAUAAUCUUCGUGAUCUCUUCCUACAAUCAUCAAAUCAUUGUCUCCCGCCACCAAUCUAACGGUGGUGGCCACCGCAGGUCCACCGUUGACUAUCUUCUCCAUAUAGUUAAAAUUGUUGGCGAGUGAAUAUGUUGCUUUCAAAUCAUUCAAGACCUCGUCAUCAACAAGGUAAUCCCAAUUCUUGGACUUAUCUAGUUCUUGACCAGACAAAAAUCUGAUCACAGUAAGACAUACUCUCGAGUUCUGUCCCAUCCAUUUCGCAAGCGAGAGCGCCUCGCGAUCAUCUUUACCACCAAUGAAGAUCACACCAACGUUAAUGGUACUAUUUUUCCUUUUCUUACCUUUACUAUAUCCUCGGUAAUUGAGUACGCCGAUAGAACAUGGAGCGCGGUCGAGGAGAGAAUCAUUCACUUGUCUGAUCAUAAUAUCGUCUGAUUCAUAUACUCCAUCGGGUGACCAUUUUCGCCCCGAAGGGACUAUGAUCAUCGAUGUAAGGUGGUCUAAAGCAAGAUUGCAAAUGUCUUGAUCCAUUAGAUCCUCACGAGAAUAAGCUGUGAAGGAACUAACAGUCGUAUAUUCCCAAUUCUCUUGUUGAAACUCGGUGAACGCGAGCAUCAUUGUUUGGAUGUAAGAGUUUUGAAGCAACCGCGCUUUAGACCGCUUGUCAUGCGGUAUCAAGAUGGGAAACGUACGUCCGGCAAGCUUCACUAGGUGUAACGCUGUGACAGCAAUGACUCCUCUGUCUUUGUUAUCGUUGUUUAGGGGCGAGGAAAGCAAUUGAAGCAGCGAAAUUGCGCCUGAAAUGUUGUCCGGUUUAUGCAAACAAGUUAGAAUCUUGAGAUCUGAGUUUGUUUUCAGAUGCAUAAUGUCUCUCUUGACGUAUCCAAUAUACUUCCUCUUUGGAUCAUAUAGUGCUUUCACAAUAGUAGGCAAAAUCCCCGCGUUCAAUAGCACGUAAAUAAUCAUGACCGUGUACGUUGCUCGCGACAAAUUCUGUGAUAAAAAUAUUCAUGCACCCAUUAGUUCUAAACCAUGAUGCAAUCUAUAUAUAUACAUGUAGAGUGGGUUAGAUAAAGAUUAUUAUACCCUUCUUUUUAAGGCGACAUCGAAGAAGCAUAAGUCGACAAAACCCUUAUAGUUCAUGAUAGUGGCGAUGAUAACGGAUUCUCUAGUAGGUAACUCGCAGAAAAUCAAGCAAGGUACAAAAGAAGCAGUCCAUUUAACGACCACUGUAAGACCCAGCAGAAAUAUGUUUAAGGAGAUGUCAUCGAACGAAUACAAUGCCCUUACAACGUCACCUUUCAUCGUCAUGAGCGCGAUUGAAAUAGGGAAAAAUAUGUUUGUAAUCAAGCUCUCGAACCUUGCCUCUAACGCAGAUCCCAGAGGCGGACCGUCUGGGAUCGCCAACCCCACCAAUAAAGGUCCUAGAACGUACAUUUGGUUGAAAACACUUGUGUAAAUACUCGCGAAGAUUGCGGUCAGGAUUGUUACGUAUAAGUAGAUUUUCCGGACGGGCUUGCCUUCUGGGGUCAUGUCGACUAUUCGUUGUGCCAUUGGCUUUACGAUGAAUAUGAUCACAAGGACUAAGAUGAUCAAUGCCACUAUGUCGCGGUUGGCUAUUCUGGGUGAAGCGUACCUGCAGCAUACCGUUUCAAACUAUUAUAUGUUUGACACUCCGGUGCCGUCUAUUGUUUAGAUAACAAUAAGUUUUUUUUUUUUUUUUUUGGUAAAAUGGUAUUUAUAAUAUUGUUGAUCAAUUUUUUAACCAGUUUUAGAGCAUUAAUAUUGCUUUAAGUCUCCGGAUUUGUAGACUUUGAUUACUACAAAAGUAUAUUUAAUGAGGUAGGUAGUUUUUUCUGAAGAAUAAUCUUGAUAUCAAAAAUUUAUGCGAGUGCACCAAUUAAAUUCAUAAAUCGACGUCUUGCAUACCUGUAUGUUCCUACGUAGGAGAUGCAUACCAGAGUGAUAAAUCCAAGGAAAUCGCUGACGGCAGCGGUAGAUAUGGCGAUGCGGCCGAGCUCGGAGUUUGGCAUCUUGAGCUCAUAUACGAGGUGGGUUAUGACCGGUAACAACGUUACUGCUUGAAUGGAUACAAUCACGCUGCGUUCUGUUGGGGCCAGCCUCAGAGGCAUAUAAAGAGGGUCGAUCUUGUCGAGACGGAAGUUUCUGAAGGCUAAUCCACUGAUCAUAGUCACUAAAAAGGACGAAACCGCGAUCGCUACCGGCCGUUUACCGAUUUUAUACACCGCUCUCUUGUUGGUCUUCACGCCCAUCAAGAACGUGAACAUUACCAACCCAAGCCUGGCCACACCUUCCAACAUUACGUUUCCAGGGACGUCUAACGAUAACCGGUCUGAUGAAUACUCCAGAAGAUCAAUCAGCUGAGGUCCCAAAAUCAAACCGGCCUAAAUUAAAAACCAAAAGACUUGUUACUUGCGAUACAAGAAACCAUGCGCUUAGUACUUGCGAUACAAGAUAUCAACAUUUUCUUAACUUACAAGCAUGUUGGAGACGAACUGUGGUAUGCCAAUACGUCUGAGGAACAUAUGAGAUAAGACGAUGGAAACGAAGAUGAGAAUGAUUUGCAGCUCAAGGAGAGGCAAUGCAUAUCCGAAGAUAAUAGUCGGAGUUUCAUAUUUUUCCAAGAUUCCGUAAGAAGAGAUGUUGUAAAAAGUCGCUCCGUAACAAAUUUCAGCUUUGCUAUGAGGCGGUGAAGGCGCAGGAGCUAGUGCUUGAGAAUCGGUCAUGAUGAUGACAAAGAUUUGUUUUUUUUCAAAUUUGUAAAAGAUCGAUUUCGUUUUUAUUUUUGGCUGACAAUUUCUUCUUAACAAAAAAAUAUUCAAAAACGUAACUGUUUGUUUUAAAAAAAACAGUUGUUGUUUCUCAAAUAGUUGGCGCCCCCCUUUGACCAGUUUUUGUUUUUGAAAUAAUUUUGUUACGUUUUGAGCUGUACUUAUCAACAAAGAAAUGAUACUUAGGCACUCUAAUCCUGUUUUCUAGUCCUUUCCUUAAACUAAACCAUUUUGUUUGACCAAAAAAAAAAACUAAUCCAUUUUACCUAAUACUUAUCUUUCGUAACAAACCCAAAAGAUGAGCCCAAUCUAAGCCCAUUGAAGAUCAAAUAUUGAGGUGACACUAGCUACUAAUGACUAAUCUAACACAAGAACUUUCGCCCACAACUCUAAUUAAUAUCAAAAAAAAAAAAAAAAAAAAAAGAGUUCCAAGUUCCAACAACUUCUAAAGUCUAAUUAAUCCCAUAGUGUUUUGAAUAUAAAAGAGUGGACCCAAAAUGAGUCACCAAGUGGGGGGAUCAUAUCCAUUAUCCAAUCCUAUCCUGUUUCUGCUUUUAAAAAGACAGGACAUUACAUUGACCCACAAACCACAAAACCUUGUUCUUGGUGACCCGUCAAGUCGCCAACUGAAUUGAAUCUUAAACCGAGUGUUUCCUAUGUUAUUAAUUUUCAAUUAUUACCUAAAUCUUUUUAAUAUAAUAUAAUUUUCCAAAAUAUAAAAUAAUAAUAAUAUUAAUUUUUUUCCCAAAUUUCUGAUAUCUGAGUGUUUUUAAGUGCAUAAUACAAAUGAGAUAUUUUAACAAAAGUCCAACCACGAAUCUCUGAUAUAUUUCAAUCCAUCGUAAGGCCAUAAACACUAUUCCAAUCUCUGUUCAGUUUUGUUUUCAUUUUUAUAUUUUUUUCCAACUAAAUACAUUGACAUAAAAUUGAGAUUACAAAGUUAUUGUACAAAACUUUUGGAAACCAAAUUAUUACAUAAACAAAUUUUUGCAAUAUAUAGUGAGAAAAAUACAUAAGAAGACAAUGCUUUCGGUAGAUAAACCUCGUGAAUAUGUUUUGAAAUCCAUUAUUUUUUUUCUCCAAAUUCGAUCUUGUUCUAAUGCAAACACUAUACGUAGAUAGUAUCUCUUGGCUGAACCUCCAAGUUGCACACCACAUAACAAAACCCGAUGCUCUCGACAAUAGUUCUGAAAUAUCGACAUUAUGAUACCAAAGUUUCCGUAUAAUAAUUAUUUUGAUAGAUUUUGGCUCUAUUUUCUCUUCGUUCGAUCCCAAAAAAUGUCUAAUUAUUCUAAAAAUUGUUUGUUUUCAUUAAUUAAUGUUCAUGAAAUGAUUAUUGGCUCUGACUAAUGAACCAUUUUAGACUCAAUUUUUUUUAUAUAAUUAUGUAUUCUGCUAAUUAAUUCUCAAUCAGGAGUAAACAAUAAACAAGUGGAAAAAUAUUUUAGCUAUAUUAAGAAGAAAAUAUAUAUAUUCUUCCUCUUGUUAUAUUUACCAAAAAAAAAAAAAGGAGAGUCAAAUUUUAAUAAUCGAGUAUGGGAUUUGUUGAUUAGGCAAAAUAAAAAUCUGGCGUGUUGCCGAGUCAUGUCACUCAUCUUCAUAUAAAUAAACCUGAUUGCUUUUUAGUCUGUGCAACUUCUUCCCCUGAUUCUGAUUACCAAACUUCAAUACAUUUCUUCAAAUUACGUUUCUUUUAAUCUUUCGUUACUCUCCAAGAAUUCUCAAUUCUGGGUCUUUAUCUGAUUGAUGUUGUUUUGAAGUAAGAAAGAUCAAAACUUUAAGUAAAUAUGGAGAUGGGUUUCCAUGAAAAUGAGCAAAAUCAAGAAUUUGCGAAUCUAAUGGAGAUUGGAUCUGGGCAUUACGGGUAAAGAACAUCUUUUUUGGGUAUUGAAGCUAAAGUUUCACUUUUUUAGUUGAAUUUGAAUUUGAUUAUCCAUGUGUGUGUGUGUUUAGGUGCUCACAUUAUAGAAGACGAUGCAAGAUUAGAGCACCAUGUUGUGAUGAGAUUUUUGAUUGCAGACAUUGCCACAACGAAGCUAAGGUAUUAACUAAUAUAUAAAGGAAUAGUCUUUUUACUUCCCUGGCUUUGUGACUUGUGUGUUUUUGUGAAGAACAACAAGUUUUGGUUAUAUAUGUGAAGUUUAUAUAGCUAAUGUGUUUUGUUUGUUUCAACAGGAUUCUCUUCAUAUUGAACAGCAUCAUAGACAUGAACUUCCUCGGCAUGAAGUUUCAAAGGUUUUAAAGUUUCAACAUUCUGGUUUCUGAACAUUUUGAUUCUGUUUGUUCUUUGUGAUAACAUUUUUGGUCUUGAUUUGUUUUUUUUUUUCAGGUCAUAUGCUCUCUUUGUGAGACAGAACAAGACGUGAGUAUCGACAUUUUUGAUAUACAGAUUUUAUUGGUGAACGUGUUUAUUGAUGUAGUAGAGCUGUGAUUGUUUUCUUCAGGUCCAGCAAAACUGCUCCAACUGUGGUGUAUGUAUGGGGAAGUACUUCUGCUCGAAAUGCAAGUUCUUCGACGAUGAUGUAAGUUUUGUUAUCGAGUUAUCGCUCUUUUUAUAGCUGGAAUUUGUAGUAAUGAGACCCAAUAUUGGUUGUUUCAGCUUUCCAAGAAGCAAUAUCACUGCGAUGAUUGUGGGAUUUGCCGGUAUAGAUUCACUUUUAAACUAGCAUUGUGAUUUGUGCUUACCAAUUCAAAAAAGAAUCUGUUGAUUUUGGUAACUAAUUAUUGAUAUGUUAUCUCAUGAUGUUGGUUUAAUAGGACCGGAGGAGAAGAAAACUUUUUCCAUUGCAAAAGAUGUCGUAAGAGACAAAACUUCAUGUUCUGGUUUCCCCAAAUGCUUCCAACCUUUCUUUGUUUGGAGAUCUUAUUUUGUUUUCUUGGAACAGGAUGUUGCUACUCCAAAAUUAUGGAGGACAAACACCGAUGUGUUGAAGGCGCAAUGCAUCACAAUUGCCCGGUUUGUUUUGAGGUACAAGAAUCAGAUUCACCCCAUUUCUUAAUGCAACGUAAUGUUGUCUUGGUACCAGGUUUCUUACAGUUGGACUUGAUUUUUUGGAUGUAUCUGUUCUCAGUAUCUGUUUGAUUCUACAAGAGAUAUCACGGUCCUACAAUGUGGUCACACUAUGCAUUUAGAAUGCACGAAAGAUAUGGGGCUACAUAACCGGUAAAAGAACUCUCAAGUCUUUUUUGCAACUGAUAAAGAAAGUCAUUGAUAAACAAAUAUUAAAGGAUUUUCUUGAUGCUUUGUGUAGAUACACAUGCCCUGUAUGCUCCAAAUCCAUAUGGGACAUGUCCAAUUUGUGGAAGAAACUUGAUGAAGAGGUAAGGUUUCUGGAACCUCAUGUUCGAUAUCCUUAUAUAGUCCCUCUCGUGUUCAUUAAGUCUUACAUUAAAAAAUUUGCAGGUUGCCGCAUACCCAAUGCUAAAGUUGUAUGAAAACAAGAUGGUAAACAUAAUGAAAUUCGAUAUCUAAUUUUCGUGUGUGUGUUUGUACACUUUCUGAUUUGGAUUGAAAUGUGAAUGAUAUGUUGAGUCAGGUAUGGAUUCUCUGCAAUGACUGUGGCUCAAACACGAACGUUCGGUUUCAUUUGAUCGCGCAUAAAUGCAGUAGCUGCGGUUCCUACAACACAAGACAGACGCAGAGAGGCUCUGAUAGUCACUCUUGCUCCUCUGGAAUGCUUCAGGUUGUUGGUUCAACUGGUUAAGUAAUACAUUAACCAGAGAUGGUUUUGGUGUCUAAAUUUCCCAAGAGGAGAUUAUUUGUACUACUUUCUAUACUUAAGUAUCAUCAGUCAAUGCCUCUGGUUGUUUAUAUCAUCAGAGAUUCAUAAGCUGCUUUGAGCCAAUCCUACUCGCAAGUCUAGACCAUUAUAGCCCAAAACAAAACAACCAUCCGAUCCGACUUCACUAUUUUGUUUCUAACCUGCUAAAUAAUAUAUUGAAAAAGGUAAAUCAAUCCAUGAGUGGACUGUCUAUUUAUUGACACUCCUAAACUUAUGUUAUUUACAUGGACAAGAAGAUCCGGCUCUAGAUCUUCAGGACCUACCCGAACCGACAAAGAAAUGGCUUUUGGAUCUUUUGGUUGUUGGGCUUACCAACGACUUCUCACCCAUCUUCCCCAACAACAAAAUAUUUAAAUAAAUUAUCUCAAAAGUUACACUUUAAUUAUCACAUUUCACUUACUAUAGAAAAAAAAAAUUCACUAUGAAGACAGGAACAUAACAUCACAUUAGGAGAGAGAGAAAAAAUGAAGCUAAAGUAUUGAGCUUUAGAGUUAACAUAAUAUCAUCCCCAAAUAAUGGUAGAGGGAAAAAUCAUAGAAACCCCUAAUUUUAGUUUCACAAUCAUGGAGCCAAAACAUAAAUGUCAAAUUGGGUUUUUGGGUUUGAGAUACAAAACCCAACAACAACAACAACAACACAAAAAAAGAAAGAAACCAAACAUACUAGUAGAGAAAGAAGUAAACUAGCAAACUCUCUCACUUAGUAUUAACUCUCCAUUGAUUUAAGAGUUAAACCAGGGGAGUUUUUUUUUCUUUCUUACUUUCUCAUAACUCUAAAUCUAAACCCUAAAUGGAUCAGACUCUGUCUCCCACAAUGGAGCAAAACCUAAUGUACAAAAAGAUCAGUCUCACUUGAACCCAAAGUGAGAUUAAUCAUGAAAUUGACCUAUGUAAUGGUAUAUUUGAUGACUAUUAGUACUACUUGAGUAAGAAGAAAGAUCAGUUGCCAGAAUUGUUUCGAUUUCCCGGUCAAUGGAGAAGAACUUUCUGAUACUUAGCUUCUGAAUAGGAUCCAUCUGAGAAGACUCUUUUCCUGUUGAAUUUCCCACACCCAUUGUUGACAAUGGGGCAUUGGACUGUGACUGGAGGGAUCUCGAAGCUCUUGAGAGGCGGUGGCGGAUGGCGCCAUUGAGGUAAUGGACCGGCUAAGAGCAGUGUUUGAAGUAAAGGCCCUGCCUUAAUAACAGCCUGUAAAAGCUUACCCUUUUCAGGCAAUGGUUUGUCUGGAAACAAUGGAUCCAUAGUAAUCUCAGUUCCUGACACUUCUUCAAGCUGAGAUGGUGGUGGAUUCAUGACAUGAUCAGUGGGUGACAUAAUGCUCUCCUCGCAAUCAGAUGAUGAGAAGCUCUUGUUGGAUCCUAGUUGUUGAGGCUGCACUUGCUCGUCUUCAAUGCUUGAAGCUCCAGAUAAAGGAGGAGUCAUAUGCUUUUGUUGCUGUAGCGAGUGGUUAUCGAACAUAAGACGCUGACAUUUCUCGAGAGCUUCAUCUCUUUCUUUGAUGGUUUUGGUUAUGAUGUCUUUGAGAUGGAUCAAUUGCUCAUCUCUUUUCCUUAUCUCUUCAUAAGCAAACAUCUUUGUUUGGUCGAGCUCUAGUGUUGUGUACAGUAGAGACUGUCUUAUUUCUUCUGUUGUCUGUAAAAAGUUUAAAAGAGAAUCAGACACACAAAACAAAGAAACAGAGGAAACAGAGGAACCAAAAAAAAAAAAAAAAAAAAACAGGGAACCCCUAAAUUGGUCAGAGAAGAAAUUAGUAAGAAAUGCAAAAUAUGAAACUUAUGCAAAAAUCAGGGUUUACUAGAUAUAUUAAGAAGAAGAAAGAAAAAGAAAAACCUCGAGAAAUUUCUUGUUUUGACAAGACAUUAUGCCCCAAUUUAAGCAAAAUAAAAAUUGAAAGUAAAGGAAAGCAAAAGCCAAAAUCUAUGAAUACUCACUAGGGUUUAAAGAAGUUUUCUUUACCUUUGCGUGGGAGUAGUAAGACCAUCCAAGAAGAGCAUUGCUUUGGUUAUCCAUAGAAUUCAACUAAAUAGAGCUUAUAAGAUCUUUUGAUUCUCUAAUAUAAACUGUUCGUGUGUGUGAGAGAAAGAGAAUGGGUUUUAGCUUGAGGGAUUAGGGAGGGAAGGAGUUAUAUAUUAGUAAACCUUAUAGUGGAGUACUGUUUAAAGCAGAUGGAGCUUUUUCAGGUAGCUCUCUUUCGAGUUUUCAAUAAUUUUAUCAAAUAACUAAAAGGAAUUAAAGAAAUAUAAAAUGAUGCCACAUGAUUUUAUCAUAUCUUGCUACAUUAUUUCAACUAACCCCACUUUAUCAUUUACAACGCGCAAAACUAUUAAGAAAAUUAUUUAUAUAACAAAAAGAUCUAAAAAAAAAUGAAGGGCAAUGUUAACUUACAAUGUCAAAAUAUAAUUUUAUAAACAGUAGGAAAUAACUAUAGUUCAGGUCUUUUUGCAAAUCAUUCUUAUACUUUGUUUCAUGUAUAAUUCUUGUACAUUAAACGAUAUUUCAUUUUUUGAAGUGGGUGUAUCUUUUUUAAUAUUUAUUUCUGUAGUUUUUGCCUUUUUCUUUUUCUUUUUUCCUUCUUUUGCCGUAAGUAUUUGGUGGAAGAGAAGACCUUAGACCAAUAUCGUAGUUUACUGACUUUGGUCUCACUCACUCACAUUAUAGUCUCUCGCAACUCUUUAAAAGUAUUUUGUUUUCUUCUUCGGUUUUCUUGGGAUGUGCAAUUACAUAUCUUGUCUUUAUACAAGAAAAAUCAAGUAGCACCGAAAAGAGCGGGAACGAAUGCUUCUUCAAACACCGUUUUUCUUUUCGUUUUUGUGUAUAUAAAUCAAAGAAGCAUAGAGUCAAUGCUAAGUGGAUUCCAUGGUCAGCAAAAGAGGCAAGUAACCAAACUUUUCCCACCAAAAUGUUGAGAAAAGUUGAUAUGGAAUCCCUUUUUCAAUUAUUAAAUCGAUCACUACCCGUGGAAAAAAAAAAGAAAUGCUCUCACUACUCACAUUCUCGUUCACAAAUGUCACGUGAAAAUUACAAAAUAAACAGCUCAAUUUCUUUUCAUUUUCAGUGGAUGAUAUAAACAUCGCUAGAUCCAUAGCCGGGAGAAAGAAAUACCUAUCGUCCGGUUUUUAAUAUUAUAGUCAGUACUAUCAAAUCUACGAUCACUAGAUUAUUCUUCUUUUUGGUCAGCAUCGAUUAUCCAUGCCUCCAUGGUGUAGAUCAUAUCUAGGUUCAAAGUUAUGGAUAUAUAUAAUUAUUUUUGUUAUUACAAUAUUCAUAUUCUUUUGUGUUGCUAAUUAUUCGAUCUUUGGAUAUGGUCAAAUAUCAUAUCUAGUGUAAUAUUAUUAACGUGAAAAAACUUUAGUAUGUAUGUAAACAUACAAUACGAAACUAAGAAAAUAUUUAUUAGUGUGCUAAAAACAUACAAUACGAAACUAAGAAAAUAUUUAUUAGUUGACAACAAUAAAAUAAUAUUUUUUUAAAUUGAGGUAAACAAUGGAAAAGUUGCAUGAAAAUGUUCUCACUGAGAUUUAGAAAGUGUUUGGGAUAUAAAGAAGAGGUAAGAACAUAAAAUACAAAACAAAAUAAAUAUUUAGUGACUUUUUUUUUGUUUUAUCAUUUAUAUAUUUUCUUCAAAUAUUCGUAUAUUUUCAAUUUGGACUGAACACAGUUUUGUGUCGUUACUUUUUAAUUGCAUGUGAAAGAAAAACUUGUAAAUGAGUAAAUGACUGACUACUAGGUUUUUCACCCAAAAAAAAAAAAGGUAAAUGACUACUAGGGUGGCGAAAAAUCAAUUUUAAUUUCUUGGGCAAAAAUUUAUAAAUAUUCUUAAAUACUUUCUUGAAAAUGAUUUAUUGACUUUUACUGCAAGUGGAAGUAAAGUGAAUCUCCAUAUUUAGUUUGCUGGGCAUGUGUUAAGUGAUAAUCAUGAUGGUGAUACUCCGAAUAUUAAUAUACAUACUAAGGAAAAAUGGAUAAAAAACAAUUAUUUUUCCUAAAAACAUGUAAAAGACCCUCGACUUUUUUUUGUGGGAUUUUAAACCCUCAUCUUUUCAGUGGUAAAAUAAACCCUAAUAUUAGUAAACUCAACUUAAUUUUCUUUUAUUGUUAUAUUAAAACAUUAAGAAACAACAAAAAAAUUAAUAUAUGAUUUUUUUUUUCCAAAUUCGUUUGCAAUUUGUUUUUCUAAAUUUAAAGUUUUUGCGCUAUAAAAAUUCAUUCACAAUUUAGUUGAGAUUACACAAAUAACUUUUGUUACUAUUAGACAAAUAGCACAUUUGAUUUUUUUUUUAUUCGAAUUUUCAGUUUUUGGAUAAAAUAUAGUUAAAUAACGAUUAACUAAAUGUAAUUUAUAUUAUAGUUUUAGUAUAUCGUGAUAUAUAUAUAUAUAUAUAUAUAUAUAGAAAUACUGUUAGUAAAUCUUAUUUUGUUCGUCCAACGAAAAUAUUUUGAUGUGCAAAUUCAUGUACUUUUUGUAGUAUUAUAAAAUUUGGUUUGGUCUCACAUUAGUAUAUUUGUGUGAUCGAACCGAAUACACCUUUAUUAACAUAAACUCAUAUUCUGUUCGGUAUAAGAAUUUCUAUACAUAAUUUUUCGUAACACAACCGAAUACAACUUCAUUAAUUAACUUUUCUACAUCAUGCUUAAAAAUUUUCAAUUUAGCAAAAGAUUAUAUUGUAAACAAGAAUUUUAGAAGAAAAUUCCUAAAUCAAAUUGUUAAUAUUUAUUUAUGUUUUAAUGUAACUAUUUUUUUGAAUUUAAAUUGAGUUUAAUAGGGUUUAUUUUACCAUUUAUGAAAAGGUGAGAGUUUAAAAACCCACAUAAAAAGUUGAGGGUUUUUAAUACGUUUUUAAGAAAGGUGAGGGUUUUUUAACCCAUUUUCCCACAUACUAAUUAUGAAAAUGUUAUCAAUUAAAAAGAGUCUAAAGGAUUCUCUGUUUCAACAAUAUGCAGAUAAACUAAGUGGUCUUCGUGUAGUGGUAAAAGAGAGAAAAGUUUAUGCCACCUAAGUUCGAGUAACAUUGGCCAUCGGAGUUCAAAUUCCCACAUGAUUUAUUUGGUCUCCAUAAUUAGUCUUUGCGCCUAAAAAACUUUUAAAAUCAUCUAAGUUAUAAAAAAAAAAAUAUGCACAUAAAUAAAUAAUAUAUAUAUAUAUAUAUAUAUAUAUAUAUAUAUAUAUAUAUAUAUAUAUAUAUAUAUAUUCAAAAAGAAAAAGCAAAAGAAAGGGGGAUUUCCAAUAGUAAAAGUAGGGAGACAAUAGUUAUCAUUUCAUGGUCUCUUUCACCAGCAUUAAUCUAAGAGCAUGUCAAGCAAAACUUUGUAUUUCUACUUUUCUUUUUAUUGUGUUGAAUAUUAAGAGCUUCGAUUUUCCAGUGUGCAUGGUCACGCACAAAUAUAUCUAGCUUUGUGAUUCAUUGUGCUUACUCGCGAUUUUUUAUAACUUAUAACAGUAGUGUACUAGUGUAUAAUGUAUACUAGAAAUCGUACUCUUAAGUAAAACAAGACCAACUAAAUAUAUGUGAGCCAAUAGUAUUAAGUAGAUGGGUUUAAUUAGUACAUCUAACUAGUAUCUAAGUUGCGCAACCAAAAAAAGUCCUAAACUUCAGUUUUGACUUUUGAGUUAGAUAUAAAUAAACAUUGACGACAGAUAUUGAUUUCAUAGAUCUCUAUAUCACUUAUUCACUUAUGAUUAUGAAUGUGAUGACCCCGUCCAAUAUCUAGUUAUGCCUUAUGAAUAUGAUCGUGUUGGCAAUAUUCACAACAAAGAUAAUGUAGGAUAAGAGCUAAUUAUACGAAGCCACAAACAUGGGAGCUAUCCAUAAAUGCACAGGACAUGCUUUGCUUUCAUUCUUCACUGUCAUUAUGAAUUGAACAAGUUUGUGUGCGUAUUAGUUUUAUCCAAAUACUAAUUAAGAACCUUAAAUUCCAUAUUAAGGGAAACCAGAUUGUUUAUUUUGUCGGCCAAUAAUUCAAUUCCUCAUGAUAGAGAAAGUAAGAAACAAGCAAAAACGAAUUUACCGUUGUGGCAGUUAAAGAAAGAUUCAAUCUGAUUUCUCCAUAUUUGCCUUUUAGAAAAUUACGUAUAUAAGUUAUAAAUCUUUAUAUGACUUUUUUUUUCAUCGUACAAGGCAUCAUAAUUUAUACCUAAUUAAUAUUCCAAAAAUCGUAUGUUAAACAUUUAGCAUGCAGGACCACAAUAGAUUAUUGUCAAAGUCGUCAGUCCGUCAUGUUUUUCAUUGAGAAUAUAUAGAAUCGAUUUAGUAUAAAAUAAUUAUUUGGACGUAAGAAAAAAAUCUUCCAAUGACAAUGAAUAAAUUGACACAUAUCAAUAUAUGAUCUAAUAAUUUAGGUUUCCAUUUACUUUAUAACUUAAUAUUGUUUUCUUGUGUGUAAAGUCUAUGUAUAUUGUUUUGAUGGUUCUAGACUGUGGACUUCGAGUCCUGAGUGUUUUUGAUACAUAACAUCCAGUUGUUUCCCAGUAAGCACACAGAAUAAUUCGACCGCAUUACAUCAGAAGUUCUUUCAGUUUUUGUUUUUGUCUUGCGUGUGUCAUGUGUUUAUAGAAUUUUGUUGACUAAUUAGCCCAUCUCACAUUGUCUAACCAUUUUAGUCGUCUCGUGUUUGAAAACAUGAAAAACGAAAGCUGGAAAACUUAAAAUAUAUAAAGGUUUCAGUUUUCUCGAAUAUAUUAAUGGAUGAAAUUUUUUGUUUCAAAAGGGAAAAUGUCAUAAAUUGCAUUGCGCAAUCAUUUAUUUGUAUCGUAAAAUAUAACUACUCACAAUCCUUUAAUAUUAGUAAAUUACGGAAAGGGAAAAUAAAAGGCUCUUUUUUUUUUUUUUGGUAAGGGGAAAAGUAAAAGGCUCUUGAACUGUUUUGUGACAUUUCAGCCGAGUUUUUUUUUCCCUUUCGUUCUUUAGUUUAAGACUUUGAAAGGUAUCUAUUUAAGCCAUAUCAGAGAUGUUAAAGCCCAAUACCCAACUCAUGGGCUUCUUAACCGAUAGGACCAUUCUGACUACACUACUGGUUCAAAUUCAAUUGGUUGGAGUUUUAGAAACAAUAAAAUGUGUAGAACACUUUCGGUUUAAAUAUUGACAAUGGGUUGCAAAGUCCUUCAAGGCCCAUUUUGUUGGCGUUGAACUAAGAAUCAGAUUGUUUAAGUAAUCUUUAGAAAGUUUGUUUUUCUUUUUGUUUAGUUUUUGUAUUUGUUUUGAUGACUAACCACAUUGGACACGCUUUCAUGUCACGGUUUAGAACACUUGUAGAGAACAAAAAAAACGGUUGAUAUAAAAUGUUUUUUUGUUAAAAGGGUUUUCUAUUUGUUAAUAAAAGAUGUUGGAGUGGCAGAUUUAGAGUAUAAAAAAUAAUGCCUAUAGAUUCUUCCUUCUGAUUUAAGUCUAAGCGACCCUCUUACCAAACAUAUUGCUUCGACUGUAAUAUUAAAUAUUUCUACAAUAAAUAUCAAUUAUAAUGUACGUAGUAUAUAUAGAUAGAGAGAGAAACAAUUUUAAACUGAAGAAUAAUAAUGCCGAAUCAUGAAUGGCUCGUGAAUUCAUUGACAAUAAGAGACUGAAAAUACUAUAUAUAGACUAUUUAUUAUAUAUAAUCAAACCAAACAGCAUCCAAAGAGAGAUAAACAGUCACAAGUGACAACGUAUACUUUUAUAACAUAUGAAUAUUUAGAAUAGAGGUUUGGUACGUUUGGUUUGUGAUUAACUGAUUAAUUAUUAGUGUCAUUAUAGUGUCGUCCAAAUUAGAUAAUACUCACUCCGUUCUUUUAUAAAUGUUGUUUUAAGCUUAUUUUUUGUUCUUAAAUAUAUGAUGUUUUAAGUUUUAAUGCAAUAUUAAUAAGUUUUUUUAUUAGUUUUGACUAUUUAUACAAUGCAAAUUAGUUUUCUAUUAGUUAAUUAAAUAAUAAAUGAUGUUUUAGUUUAGAAAUAAACAAAAAUUAAAUGAUUUCUUAAUCUGUAUAAAUUUUUCUAAAACAUCAAAUAAAAAAGAACGGAGGGAGUAUGAGUGUAUAUUUAUAUUUCAAAAAUGUUUAAUUAUUUGUUUUCUAUCAACACAAAAUACCGGAAGUUUGUAGUGCUCAGUUCGGUUAAGUUAAUCCAGCACAAAAACAAAUCCAUCAAGCCAUGUCCGUAACCGUUAAAAUGGGUAAAUUUCUAGUAUAAUUUUCCUUCAAUGCCUAUACAUGCACGUAAAUCCAGUUCUGUCUCCAUGCAUAUAAAUAUACAUGUAGCCUUUUAUGGCCAGAUGGGGUAAAUGUGUGAAUUUGUUUGGUUAUAAAUAUUAAAUGUUGCAUUUACUAUAGUCUAGUAGGUUAUUUAAAGCGACCAAUCAGUAGCUGAAUUCUUAUAAAAGUAUUAAAUGCACCAAAUUUUAACAGAUGCCGUUAUUAAUUAACCAUUUUGUGAUUGGUACAACCACUUUGAUAUUCCAAAUAAGGCUGAAUUCUUUUUAUCCAUGUUGUUGUGAUGGUAGAUUUUGUUUAUGACUUUACAAUUACAACUUUCAAAAAUUUGUGGGGGUUAUAGUGUGAGAUUGUGUACGGUUUCAAAGUCACCUAAUCAGUCACGUUAUUACGUACUCCCCCUGUUCCAUUUUGUUUGUAGUUUUAGGCUUUUUUUUUGGUUCCAAUUUAUUUGUUUUUCUCACAUAUCUAUGCAAAAUUUUACUUAUUCCAACAAUUUAUAUUUUCACAGUAAUUAAUUUAAAUCAAAAAAUAAUUAAUAAAUUUUGGUCAAAUCUGUUAACGUCAAUUUUUUUAAGAAAAAAGCAAUUAACAAAGUUUACUGGAAGAUGAACAGCACUUUAUCACUAGUAAAAAAUGACGAACAUCAUUUACAAAACUAAGACAAAAAACAAUCGAUUAGUUUAUUUAAAAUAUGGAAAAAGAGAUCUGACCUGGAUCAUGAUCAAUAGGAUAAUAAUUGAUAUCACUAGAAAAAUCUUCAUUGCCGCUAUUUCCACAAGUUUCUUCUUGCGUUGGUAUUUCGUUCAAAUCGAACAAAUAUUCAUUCUCAUAAUUUGGAGGUGGAAAAUUCAAAUCAAUAUUAGAAUCCAUGAAUUGCUGAAUAAACCAUUGUUCAAUUGAAUAGAUUAUAUAAAGAAAAAAAAUUAAGUUUUCGUUUUGUUUUGGCUCUAUUGUAAAAUUUGAAUUUUUUAGAUUUAAACUGUUUAUGAAAAAUUUUGGCUCCAAAUUUUAACUUUUCUAAUAAUUUGUUCAUUACAAGUAGUACUUUAAUUGGAGUGAAGAAAAGUUGACGUGAGUUUUUAGUGACUAUUCAUCUUCUUCUUUUUUGUUGUUUUUAAGUAAAAACAAGUUUUAUUAAUUAUCUAAUUAAUGAUUUUUAAUGAUUUUUAACCAAAAUUAAGUUUUCUUAAUAAUCGUGCUUUUAGUUAAAACUACAAACAAUAUGGGACAGAGGGAGUAUAUGUUUCUUAAGUUAUACAAAAAAAAAAAACACUUUUUCUAAGGUAUUGUAGAAAAAUAAAUAAAAAUAAAAAAUUCAAGAAAUUAUCAAUAAAACUUAUUUCUUGUUUAAACAAUAUCUGAGAUAUAAUUGUCAUUCUAAAGUGACUUAAAUUUAUGCAAGUUUUAGGGGUCCUAUUCGAAUGAAUACAUAAAUGUUACGAACCAAAAGCUUAGGAAGGUCAUUGGGUCAAAGGCGGCUAUGAUUUAGUUUUGGAGGAUGACGGUACAAUAAGUUUAGAAAAUUUUCAAAAUUUCUUAUUUCUAUUGUAUCGAGUUUUUUGAAACCUAUAUAAAGAGAGUAUAGGUUUUUACAAAGUUUAUUACUAGUAUUAGAUUAAUAAAUGAAAGCCUAAACAAAAGAUAUUGGCCUCAUGAACACUCUUUUCUCUUUAACCCUUCUUCUAUCAUUUGCUCGAAAUCACAGCAGAGACCAUAACAAAAGUAUUUUAGUAUUUAUAUGUUUCUUAAAAACAAACUUUAUUUCAUCUUCGUUGUCUUACCAAGUGGGCAUUACUUAUGCCUAAAGAUAGAAGAUGUCCAACUUCUAUCAUCUUAUAGGCGACGUCCGUGCUCAUAACCACUUUUCUAAGUCUUACUCAUAAGUUAUAACCACUUGUCCUACUUGAAUUGAUUGGUGUGAUGAUUAAUUGACCAUUAAUAGAAGUACAAUUGGGACAAAGUAAAUAUAGUUUUAAUGAAAUCUAACCGCUUAAAUAAUCAUACACUCCUUCCCUUUCACUAUUUAAAGUUUAAUAAUGUUACAUGCAUAUUAUUCUUGAAAACGACAAGAUGUCAAGAUUAUAAGAUAACUUUUUCUUUUUUUUUUCUACAAAGAUUAGAGCAUGGUCAUAGUUGAUACUCAUAAAAUAUCAUUAAGAAUUUUUUAGUAUUAUUUAUAAUGUUUGUUUCAUGUUUUUUUUCCCCUGCUUUUGGCAAACUGGACCAAUCAGUAGAUGCCACGUCAAAUGAUAGUGGUAUCAAAAAUAUCACUAGAUUGAUACUAAUGAGGCCCAUUCUAAUUAUUUUGUCCAUAUAAAAAUAAUUUAUUAGCUUGUGAUAUUCUAAAAAUAUCACUUAUGUACAUGGUCUAAGAUAAUACUAAGGGAAUACUAUACUUGGAGAACAAAAAAUAUGUAUACAAAAGCUCAUGCACGUAUGGAUGAGAACAAUGACACAUUCUAAUAACAACUAAACACUUCCCAACUUUCAUAAGUAAACAACUUCUGAAUAAUCUUACAAAAACAAUGGAUUUAAAAAAUCUUUUUCUUGUGUGUAUAAAUGUGUUGCACUCUUUUCUCCCCACACACAGACCCAGUGGCCAGUGCUCUUGUAAGCUUUUUAGAUACCUUUUGCGUUUUUUUCCCAAGCCCCACUCUAAAUAUAUGUAAUAUAUAAUGCAUAGUGGAUUUGUUCGAUUACAAUUUAGAUUUUACCACUUAUUAUUAUUUUUUAAUUUUAAAUCCGAGUUUUAGAUACUAGGUGGAAAAACGGUAUUUUAAUACUCGUUUGGGAUGAAGUACGAUGUAUGUUUGGUUUGGCAGCUCAAUUUCUAAGUGAAAUAAAUAUUAUUUUAUUUUAUGUAGGGACAAAUUAAGAAAAAGGCUAAUAAAAGUUUAGAAGAAGGCUAACUUUUUGAUAUGAAAAUAUACAAUUUCUGAUUUAAGGUUUAGAAUUUAUUUUUGUGGGAUUAGCUUAUUUUAGGCUUUUGAGUUUAGUUUUUAAGAUUUUAGAGUUUGAAUUUUGUAUAAAUUAUGGCACAUUACAUACUUAUGGUGCAAUAUACAUAUAUAUAUUUUAUUCAGCACCAAUAUUUUUACCAAAGCUCAAAUAUUAAUUUAUAGUCAUUCUAGUAUUUAACUACACAACCAUGAAACUAGAAUAGGGAGGGAAUAUAAGUGAUGAGCGUAUGGUGCAACAAUUUUGGUAGGGAUUUUUUUUUCAAAUUUAUAUCCAUCCAAUUUUGAAUUAACUUAAUUUCAUUAAUUUGUUGUCUUUCACUUUUUCAUUAUGAAAAUAAAUAUACUCCAUCCGUUUCAGUUUAGUUGUCGUUUUAGGAUUUAAAUUUUGUUUCAUAAUAGUUGUCGUUUUAAGUUUUCAAUGCAAAUGUUUGGUGAAAAUUUCAGUUUUAUCCCUACUGUUUUAAUGUUUUGGCUAAUGAAAUUUUUUAUAAAAUAUAUUAAUAAAUGGUAAAACAGAAAAUUGAAUGUUUUUCUUAAUUUAUGUGAAAAAAACCUUAAACGACAAAUAAAACGAAACGGAGGAAGUAGUAUAUUUAAAAAUAAAUAAAAGUCCCAUCUAACUUGUCAUUAUUAAACUACAAAUGAUAAACGUAAUCCAAAAAAAACAACAAUUAGCUUAUCAAGAGACACAUUUACAUAAAAAGCACAUGCCCCUCACGGGAUCAAAACAUCCCAACUUACCAAAAUUCGCAAAGUAAUUAUUACGGAGCCAACAAGGGCAUUAUAGUCAUUCCCUAUUAUCUGGUACGGUUACAAGAAAUUUGACCAGCGGUGAACCCGAGACCAUUGCCGAGCUCUAUUCUGCUCCAUUGCCAUCACCAUGUGACGACCUUCUCUCUCUAAAUUCUCUCUGUACUCUGAAAAAAAUUGUUCUUUAUUCUUAUUACAGAAACAAAUUUUUUUUUUUGGUUUCUUAAUGAUUUGUUAUAACCUUGUUGGAUUCAAACCAAACCUACACGAGAGAAUGAUGAGAAGUAGAUCACCGAUUUUGUUCCAAAUGUUUUGAUUAAACAUUCAACGACUCUUUCUCUACAUUUCUCCCAAAUCUCUGUUGAUUUUGCUAAAUCAAGCAAUGUCGCUUGACAUAAAGAGACCGAACAUCAACAAGACGAAGAAGAAGAAGACAGGUUUCGUCGUGAAAAUGCAGCUUAAUAACAACAACAGAGGAGGAAAUAAAAGAAACAUCUUUAUCUUCUUCUUCUUCAGAAAUUAUUACACAUGGAUCCUCUGGUUUUUCCUCUCUCUUUAUUUCUUCACAUCUUACUUCUCCGUCGAAGACCAAUCCCCACCGUCGUCAAUACGUCUCUUGUCUAACCACAAAACGUCGUCGUCUCUCCCAUCUCGUGCUCUCAUCGAAUCUUCCGCCAUUAAAACCAACUCCUUUGGUAAAAAAAAAACAUCGAUCUUUUAUUUCUUCUCUGUUUCAAAUCACUCAUUUUUCUCAAAAAUCGAUUUUUUUGUUCUUCUUGUAAAUAAAGGUUUAUUCAGCGGAAUGAAGAUAUAUGUUUACGAUUUACCGGCGAGUUUUAACGACGAUUGGGUCACGGCAUCAGACCGGUGCGCUACUCAUCUUUUUGCGGCGGAGGUAGCCAUCCACCGUGCGCUUCUCUCCUCCGACGUCCGUACGUUAGACCCAGAAGAAGCUGAUUUCUUCUUCGUCCCUGUCUACGUUUCUUGCAAUUUCUCCACAUCCAACGGCUUCCCUUCUCUAAGCCACGCUCGCUCUCUCCUCAGCUCCGCCGUCGAUUUUCUCUCCGACCAUUACCCGUUUUGGAAUCGGACUCAAGGCUCUGACCAUGUAUUUGUCGCUUCCCAUGACUUUGGUGCGUGCUUUCACGCAAUGGUAAAGCUCCAAAGUCCUCCCAUUCAAGUGCUUACAUGCCUAAAGUAUGUUCCUUUGGUCAAAGUCUCACAAGUAGAUAUUGAUUUUUUAUUUGUUUGUGUUUUGUGAAGGAGGAUAUGGCGAUAGAGGAAGGGAUUCCAGAAUUUAUGAAGAAAUCGAUUAUUUUACAAACGUUUGGAGUUAAAUAUAAGCAUCCAUGUCAAGAAGUGGAACAUGUUGUUAUCCCGCCGUAUAUUCCGCCGGAGAGUGUUCAAAGAGCUAUUGAAAAAGCUCCGGCGAACGGACGGCGAGACAUUUGGGCCUUUUUCCGGGGAAAAAUGGAAGUCAACCCUAAGAAUAUAAGCGGACGCUUUUACAGCAAGUGCGUUGCGUAGCGAAAACCUUUCACAUUUUUUUUUUUCUUGUUGACUUUGACUUUUGUGUUUUUGGAUUUCUCCUUUAAUUUACUAAAAUGCCAUUUUUCCCGGCGUGCAGGGGAGUGAGAACAGCCAUUCUAAAGAAAUUCGGAGGAAGAAGGCGGUUUUAUCUUAACCGGCACCGGUUUGCUGGAUACCGAUCAGAAAUUGUGAGAUCGGUGUUUUGUCUCUGUCCUCUCGGGUGGGCACCGUGGAGUCCUAGGCUAGUGGAAUCCGCCGUGUUAGGUUGUGUUCCCGUUGUUAUCGCCGAUGGGAUUAAGUUACCGUUCUCGGAGACGGUAAGGUGGCCGGAGAUCUCACUAACGGUGGCGGAAAAAGACGUGAGGAGUCUUCGAAAGAUUUUGGAACACGUGGCGGCUACUAAUUUGUCUGUGAUACAGAGAAAUUUACAUGGACCGGUGUUUAAGCGGGCCCUCUUGUACAAUGUGCCGAUGAAAGAAGGAGACGCCACGUGGCAUAUUCUCGAGUCGUUGUGGAGGAAGCUCGAUGAUCGGUCGUACAGAAGGUCAAGGGUUUUAAGCCAAUGAUAAGUCGACACGUAAGAUUCUAUGUCUAAAUGGAUGCUAGGCUGGAUUUUUUCGGACUGUUUCGGAAUUGGUAAACCGGGAAUGUCUCGAGUGGGGUCCACAACGUGAGGGGGAUUAACUCGGGCACGUGAGAUGUUUGCUGAGUUGGCGAUUAUUGAGUGGAUUAACGUGCCCCAGGGAAGUGAAAGUGUAAAGUAUUGCUGACGUGUAAUUCUUUUGAUGAGUAGGUAUAUAAAUUCUUUUGAAUAUAAAGUUGAUCGAAAUGCAAAGUUAAAUCAAAUCUCAACUUCAGUUUAACCUCCAACACUCGAUCAGUUUUUUUCUUUGGAAUAAAAACAAUGUAUCUUGGUUAGAAUACAAAUAAGUAAAAUUUGUUUAGUCCCUUCUAAGUUGUGACAUAAGAUCUUCGUUAACACAGAUGAUCGAAACUCUACACAGCUUGGAUCGGAUCUAAAAAUUUUAGUUGACCAUCCUUAAAUAUAAUUAGCCAAUAAAAUAAAUAAGAAUUAGUAACAUAUAAUUGGAAAAGUAAUGAUAAAGAUAAAAUAAAAAGGAUGGUGUUUGUAUAGGGAAAGAUGAAAGACAGAACAAUGUGAGCAAGAGACAGCUAGUGUGUCAGAAGAAGAUGCAUAUAUCAAUAAAUGUUACUCACUCCGUUUCGUUUUAGUUAUCGUUUAAAGUUUUUUCACACAAAUUAAAAAAAGCAUUAAAUUUUCUGUUUUAUCCUUUAUUAAUAUAUUUUAUAAAAAAAUUCAUUGGCCGAAACAUUAAAACAGUAGGGAUAAAACUGAAAGUUUCACAAAACAUUUGCAUCGAAAACCUAAAACGACAACUAUUAUGAAGCAAAAUUUUAAUUCUAAAACGACAAGUAAAACGAAACGUAGGGAGUAAUAAUCUUAGAUUAUUUGUCUAUUAAAUUCUUAUUUACACAUAUGUUUGCAGGCCCACAUUACUUUCUUAUCUUAUGUCUUGUAGACAUCACAAAAACAGUACACCAAUCAAAAAUUAUUUACACAUCUAUCUUUUUUUUUUUUUUUUCACUGAAAGAUUGAUGAAUAUAUUCAUGAAACCAGUGACACAUACACAAAACGGAUCAAGGACAAUCAUUCUAGCUCAAUCACAAUGAGUAUUACACAAAGCAAUACUACUUUCAUCCUCAAAGAUCUUCUUUAACCAAAAAAGGAACCCGGUUGCUACGUACGAUUGACGGCGAUCCUCCACUGUAACACUCUUGGCUAUAAGGUGAGCACCAAGGUUUGUAGCUCUAACCUCACCAAAAAGCUUCCAAUCCAAAAAAUUCCCUAAUUCAUGAAGCAAUAACAGGGACUGAAACUUAUAAGAUGGCCAAGCAGGUGGCCUUAAGACAGCUCCUAUAAGAUCAGUAUCCUCAGAUGCGAAAAUGAUUUUAUCAAUCCUGAGACUUUUCAUACUCUCUAUAGCCCAUUGCCAGCAAAGAACACUAGCAUCAAGCUUGCUAGUCACUGAAGCAAAAGACCUUCUCCCAUGAGUUAAAACCAGGCCGUGUUCAUCUCUCAAAACCCAUGCGGCACCACCAUUUACACAUCUAUCUAUGUUUACCUUUAUCUGUCGAAUACUUAGAUUAAUCUAUAUGGAGUAUUAGCUAAUUUCAAUUAGUAGACAUUAAAAAACAUUGCAACAAUGCGAACAAUCUCAUUCCAUUUGUGUUUGAGCUGCUCCCAAAAUGAUCAUAUUGAACGCAUAAUGAUUAAUAAAAUCAGUUUCGAUAUUUUUAUUAAUGGAAAAUGUGUUAGUUUUUUUUUGAAAAUAGAUGAAAUGCAACAUCUUGUGACUUGUUUUCUUAACAAUUUAUUUAAUAGUGAUGUAACCCCACAAUCAGAGAAAGUAACAAAUAUGUGUCGUACAGUUGUUUUGUUCUAAAAUCGCAACAAAAACAAUGACCAUUAACAUAAUUUUGGUUAUAACGAAAGUGACACAGUACUUCAUCUAUAAUGAUAUGGUCAUUGCCUCUCAUUGGUCAAGUAUCAUCCCUGGCACUAAAGCUUGGUUAAGAGGCGUUUGCUGGAUCCUGGACCUAUAUCUAACUCUAAAACAAAAAUUUAGGGCUGGGCUUUUAAACCGAACCGAAACCGAAGUAAAAAAAACUGAACCGAACCGAAUCGAAAAUUUGAAAAUAACCGAAUGGAUAUUAAAUUUGAUAACCGAAAUAACCGUAACCGAAUUAGUAGCGAACCGAAAUAUUUCGGGUAACCGAAAUACCCGAAAUACAAUUAUAUUUUUGAAAUAAUUAGUUAUUUAUUGACCAAAUAAUCAAAAAUACUUGAAAAAUCUAUAAAAAUAGUAAAAAUACUCAAAAAUAACCGAAAAAUAUCCAAAAAUAUUCGAAAAUACUCAAAAAUAACCGAAAUAUCCGAAAAUAUCCUAAACAAAAUAACCGAAUGGAUACUAAAUUUUAAAACCGAAAGAACCGAAACCAAACCGAAACCGAACCGAAAUUUCAAAAUAUCCGAAUGGAUAUUAAAUUUUAAAACCGAAAGAACCGAAAACCGAAUGGACCCAACCGAUAACCGAACGGAUAACCGAAAACCCAGGCCUACAAAAAUUCAUAUAAAAAGGCCUUUAAUAAAAUACUUUACUAGAAGGCCCAAUCCUCUCUUGUUUUUGUUUAUUCUAAGCUCUAUAUUUGAUUGGGCCGACUAUGACCAUACUCCAUUAUUCUAGGCGCUCUUUUUUUGUUACUUGGGCUUUUUUUUUUUCUUAUACAUACACAUUUACAUUUUAACAGAAAGAUUACUAUAAAUGAAAAUAUUAUUUUGUGGGUGUUUAAAAACUACGUCAACGAAAACAAAAAAAUUACAUCAACUAUGUUCCAAAAACUUCGGGUUCAAUUAGUUUUAUUCGAUAUACUCCCUCUGUUUUUUAAAAGUUAUCGUUUUAACUGUAUUUUGACAAAUUAAGAAAAGGUAUACAAUGACUAUAUUAACCUCAUAAAAAUGACAAGUAAUUAUUUACAAAUAAUUUGUGUUCAAUAAAAUGAGGGUAAUUUGGGUAGUUAUUGGCAUAACUUACAUUAUUACCUUAAAACGACAACUAAUUUAAAAAAAAAAAAAAGCUCUAAAACGACAACUAUUCGAAAACGGAGGGAGUAAUUGUUAAUUUUGUUACCGUUUAUAUCAUUAUUUUUAUAAAAGAAAUAAAAAUUUACUCGUUUUUAUUUCAGUUCGGUCUGAUUUUUUUUUUUUUUUUUUAAAUAUCAUUUCAGUUCGGUCUGAUUGUUUGUGUUCGAUUUUUAGGUUUGGUUUUUUCCAAACCAACACUUCCUUAAAGUUAAAAAAAAAAAACAUAUAUAUAAUUGCUUAUUUUUAGUUUAAUAGUUUUGGUCCGCGAGAGGCAUAAGCAUACAAAAAUAUUCUUCUCCGAAAGUUUUAAGAACAGAGCAAGGUAAAAAAAGAGAAGUCUCGCAACAAUGGAGAGAGUGAUGAACAUCAUAAAGCCAAAGCCUGAUCCCAAACAACUCUUGCGUGAUUGGCAACGCAAAUUACGUCAGGAGUGUCGUAACAUCGAACGCCAAAUCCGAGGUUCUUCUAUUUACACAUCUUCUCUCGCGUUUUUCGUUGGUCAAUUUAGGGUUUUUGAAAUCUAAUUGAAUUAGAAGAUGCUAGUUUAGAUUAAUUGGAUUGAAUCAGAUUUGGAUCGGAUUAUUUUGAUGGGUGUCCUUUAUAAGUGGAUUUUGAUAUUCCUGCUGAUGUUAAUUUCUCGAUUUGGUCAUCUGGGUUAGGUUUGAAUCUAUGGAAUUUUGAAAGUUUUGGUUUUUGUUCAGAUAUACAGAAAGAAGAGAGAAAUGUACAAAAAGCUAUUAAAGAAGCUGCAAAGAGGAAUGAUAUGGUCUCUGCUAAGGUAAGUACCUAAAAAGUCUUUGUCUUUGUUGAAUCUUUGGCUCUCGUUUCUGAUUUGAGUGUUUGGUGUUUCUAGGCACUUGCUAAGGAAAUUGUGAGUUCAAGAAGAACAGUGAACCGGUUAUAUGAAAAUAAAGCGCAGAUGAAUUCGAUAUCAAUGCACCUUGGGGAGAGUGUUGGUAUGUCCUUUCUUUCGUUUUCAUCAUUUGUUAUAUUCUAUGUUUUGUGAUGUGGUUUUCUUAAAGAAGUUUCAUUGGAAAUCUGCAGCGAUUGCUCGAACAGUUGGGCAUUUGUCCAAGAGUGCAGAGGUUAUGAAGCUUGUUAAUAAUCUCAUGAAGGCUCCACAAAUGGCUGCAACAAUGCAGGAAUUUAGCAAAGAGAUGACUAAGGUUAGUACCUAUAAUGGUUUCCUUCUCUCAUUAUUAUUAUUGAUCAUAUAUGCUUAUCGAGAUAUAGAGAAAAAAAUUACACCUUUAAGCAUUUUACAUGUUCUCUGUUUGAAGAUUCGGAGCUAUGUUCACUGCUCUACAUGUAGUAUUUUUGUACAUAAUCAAUCCUGAGUGUGUUCUUUGCUACUUUGAUAUGUGUAGGCUGGAGUUAUUGAGGAGUUUGUGAAUGAGGCCAUUGACAAUGCUCUAGAUUCAGAGGAUAUGGAAGACGAGAUCGAUGAAGAGGUUGAUAAAGUAUUGACAGCAAUUGCAGGAGAAACCGCUGCAGAGCUCCCAGAAGCUGUUAGAAAGGAAAGGAUAAAGGUACCUGCGCAGAAGGCGAGCACUUCCCGCGAGGUAAGACUAUUGAGUAUUGAAUGAUUCCAAGAACAUUACAAAUAUUUGACGCUUUUUAACUUGUGCAAGAUUAGAUUCUGAAAGAAAAAGUUGGGUUUCUUGUUUUGCAGGAAGAGGCAAUUGCAGAGGGUGUUGAUGAUGAGGAAGAAUUGGAGGAAAUUCGAGCUCGGCUCGCAAAAGUUAGAUCCUAACUCAGUCCAACGACUCUUUAAACGCUAUUCUUGAUUGAUAUGAUCAACUUUUGAUGAGAACAGAAGGCGAUCACAGUGUAUUGUAUAAUAUAAAUGAAAAUACCAUGCUUCGAAAUACAUGUAAACAUCAGUUACCUAUUUAUUGUUAACGAAGUUUUUUCUUUUCUUUUCAUGGCGAUUUCAUCCGAAACUCUUCCUCUUCCUUAAUCUAAAAAAAUAUGGUUCAGUGUGUAUUGUUUUUUUUUUCGGUUUAGGUUACAUUUCUUAACAUAUUCCGGUGUAGGAAGAAACCGAAAUGUGAUCCCGUACAUGUUUUUUGGUGAUAAAUGAUGAAAUAUAAUUAGUUUUUGCUAAAUUAUAAAUGAUGAAAUAUAACUAUUGGCGAUGUAGUAAAUUUAUCACUUGGUAGUUUUUGAAUAAUUCGAAUAAUUAGAUUGUGAUAGUGUAUUUGUUUCUAGAUCAUACUUGCAAAACGAAAAUUAAAAAUAUAGCAAAAUUGACGUGGCAAGUUAAAUUAUGGGAUCAUUUGGUGGUAUAAAAUGACAAAAUAUAAGGCCGAUGAAUCAUUCCCUAACUAUGGUUGAUAGCGAAGGUGAUAGGGACGAUAAUAUUUACUAUAUCAUUCUCUUUGUUGAAAAAAGACUUUGACACAACACGUGGCAUGAUUAGUUUGAUUUUGGUCAGAUCAACUACAAAAGUAAACCAUUCUUUCUUUUUCCCCGACCAAAACGUGAAUUUAAUUUAAAUGUAAAAUUUCAUGGAAUCUCAGUUUAAGAACACAAUGGAGUAAUGUUGUCAUACGCAAAUUUAUAUAGAUCGAAUCCGGAAAUAUAACAAAAACACGGAAAUAUAAGAUUUACUAGUUCAACCAAAACCUCGGAGGGAUGAGAUCCCAGGUUUUCUUGUUAUUGUUCCAACGAUAAAAUCCAUAGUCUUUGACAACGAUGGAACACGAGUCUUUGCAGUAAUCUUUAUCUGAAUCGUACAAAACGAACCACAUCCCGUAAGGUCCGGAAUUUUUCUUAGUGUAAAACGUUCCUACACAUUCCGUAUGCGGCAACUGUGUAGAUCCCUCCGCUUUUUCAUUAUCUCCGGCAAUGCUUGGGAUGUCUAUCAACAUCUUUUGACCCAAAGGUACGGAUUUGGACAGCUCAGGGGUUGGGCGGCACGUGACGAAAACGGGAAUAUUAGAAUGUGUUUGCAUCUCGUUGGAUACGAGAAGUGUGGCGGCACGUGCGCAUCCAGACCCAGCAAAGAGCAUUAGGGCCAUGAUGGAUACCGUUAUAAGUGUUGUAUAAGCUUGAAGAUUAUGAAGAUAACUUGAGAUAAAAGUCUCUAGUUUUAAAAGGAGAGUUUAGAUAUUUUGAGAUAAAGAUUAGAUUGUAUUAGGAGUUAUCUAAUAUAUCUAAUAUGUUGUAAUUUCUAUUAGGGUUAGGAAUUGUAUUCUCCUAUAAAUAGAGGUCAAGUUAUGACAUUAGGGGAUAUGAGAGCUUUGUGUGUUUAGGGUUAUGAAUGUAUGGUUUUGAGUCAGUUUCCAUACUAAUAAAAGAGAGAGUCUUUUACAUCUUCAUAGCCUUUGGUUAUCUUGCUCUUUAAGGUUUUGAUACAAGAAUUGGUAUCAGAGCUUGAGAUCACGAUCACGAGAAAACAGAGUUGAUAACAGAGAACGAUCACGAGAAGGUGAUCCAUAAGGAAACAUGGGAGACUUGAUUCCCGCGACUACCAAAGAAGGAGGAGGUUCCUCUUCUAUUAAGUGCCCGAUGUUAAAUCCUACAAAUUACACGUUUUGGACUAUACGUAUGACUAUGGCACUCAAAGUUCAUAAAGUUUGGGAGGCUAUAGAACCUGGAUCAGAGGAUAUUGACAAGAACAACAUGGCUAGUGCUCUUCUUCUGCAAUCUAUCCCUGAAGCAUUAACACUGCAAGUCGGGAAACUAAACACUGCAAAGAAGAUAUGGGAUGCAAUUAAAUCUAGGAAUCUAGGAGCUGAUAGGGUUAAAGAUGCAAGAUUACAAACCCUAAUGGGUGAGUUUGAGAGAAUAAAGAUGAAAGAAAGUGAGAAGAUUGAUGACUUUGCUGGUAGAAUCUCAGAACUAUCUACAAAAUCUGAAUCUCUUGGACAUGACAUCGAAGAACCAAAGCUUGUAAAGAAGUUUCUAAACGGAUUACCUAGGAAAAGGUACAUACAUAUAAUAGCCGCACUUGAACAAGUUCUUGAUUUAAACAACACUACGUUUGAAGAUAUAGUUGGAAGGAUAAAAGCGUAUGAGGAAAGAAUCUGCGAUGAAGAAGAUAAUCAAGAAGAUCAAGGAAAACUAAUGUAUGUCAGUUCUGAGACACAACCAUGGUACACAAACAGAGGAAGAGGACAAGGCGGCAGACGAGGAAGAGGAAGAGGUCGUUCUGGUUAUCCUCAAAACAAUGGUUACCAACAGAACAGAGAUACAAGCAAAAUAACAUGUUACAGAUGUGAUAAGCUAGGUCACUAUGCAUCAGAUUGCCCUGACAGACUGCUUAAACUUCAAGAAACACAAGAAGCCAAUGCUUCAAAGAAUGGUGACACACAAGUAGCUGAUGCUCUAAUGAUGCAUGAGGUUGUAUAUUUGAAUGAAAAAAACUGUGUACCAAAUAAGUUUGAAACCAGUUCAGACAAUGAGAACAUUUGGUACUUAGAUAAUGGUGCCAGCAACCAUAUGACAGGUAUACUAGCUUAUUUUUCUAAACUUGAUGAAUCAGUUACUGGCAAAGUCAGAUUUGGUGAUGAUUCUCGAAUCGAUAUCAAAGGAAAGGGUUCAAUAACGUUCGUUGCAAAGAAUGGAGAAAGAAGAAUUCUACAUGAUGUCUACUACAUCCCAGACUUAAGAAGUAACAUUGUGAGUUUAGGUCAAGCCACUGAGUCAGGCUGUGAUGUCAGAAUGAAAGGCGAUAAUCUUACUCUUUAUGACAAAGAUGGCAAGCUUUUGGUUAAAGCACUAAGGUCUAGAAAUCGACUCUACAAGGUAAGUUUAGAAGUUGAAAACAAUAAGAGCCUACAAAUUGGGAUAUCAAAAUGCAAGUGGCAUGCCAGGCUAGGACAUAUUGGAACAGAGACCUUAAAAACAAUGGUGGAGAAAGAACUUGUCUUUGGGAUCCCACAAAUCAAAGUAGAGAAAGAAAUAUGUUCCUCUUGUCUACUUGGAAAGCAAACAAGAAAAUCUUUUCCCAAAGCAACUUCUUUCAGAGCAGAAAAUGUUUUGGAUCUCAUUCAUGGGGAUCUCUGUGGACCCAUCACACCUCCUACACCAUCAAAGAAUCGAUACAUCUUUGUUUUAAUUGAUGAUUACUCACGAUACAUGUGGACACUUCUACUGAGAGAAAAAGGUGAAGCCUUCAGAAAAUUCAAAAGUUUUAAAGCAUCUGUUGAACAAGAAACCAAGACCACUAUCAAGACAUUUCGAACUGACAGAGGUGGUGAAUUUCUUUCGGCUGAAUUUCAAGCAUUUUGUAAUGACUCUGGUAUACAAAGGCACCUAACUGCACCAUAUUCUCCCCAACAAAACGGGGUCGUCGAGAGGAGAAACAGAACAUUAAUGGGAAUGACCAGAAGCAUUUUAAAACACAUGAAUGUCCCAAAUUACUUGUGGGGGGAAGCAGUCAGACAUGCAACAUACAUCAUAAACAGAGUAUCAACAAGAACACUGAUACACCAGACUCCCUACGAAGCAUUCAAAGGAAAAAAACCAAAUAUAGAACAUAUACGAGUCUUUGGCUGUAUAGGCUAUGCAAAAACAGAACCGGCUCAUCUGAAGAAGCUUGAUGAUCGAUCAAAAAUGCUAGUGCAUUUAGGAACUGAGCCAGGAUCAAAAGCGUAUCGAUUGUUUGAUCCAACAAAGCAAAAGAUAAUAGUAAGCAGAGAUGUUAUAUUCGAUGAGGAAACAAACUGGAAGUGGAAUAAUGUUGAGAAGGAUACAAACUUUGAGAUAAGCUUUGGAGAAUUUGGGAACAAUGGCAUAAGAGAAAAUACUACUGAAACAGAAACAGAGAAUGAUGAAGUUAAUAAGAAUAAUGAACCAGAAGAAGAACAUAUCUCAACUAUUGGAAACUCUGAAGAUGAUGAAGCAAGAGAACAACAACAACCAGGACCAACACUCAGAAGGUCAGGAAGAGAAACAAAGAAACCAGGCUAUCUAGAAGACUAUGUCUUAUUAGCAGAGUAUGAAAGUGAAAGACUGCUACUGGUUAUUAAUAAAGAGCCAUGGGAUUACAGUGAAGCAAAAGAAUCUAAAGAAUGGAUAGAUGCAUGUGUAGAAGAGAUCACCUCUAUAGAAAAAAACAGAACAUGGGAUCUAGUAGAUCUUCCUAUAGAUGCAAAGCCAAUAGGCCUAAAAUGGGUUUUUAAGAUCAAGAGAAACGCUGAUGGAAGCAUAAAUAAGUAUAAAGCAAGACUAGUAGCUAAGGGAUAUGUGCAGAGACAUGGCAUUGACUUUGAUGAAGUCUUCGCACCUGUAGCACGUCUUGAAACCAUACGUUUCAUUGUUGCUCUAGCUGCUUCCUACGGCUGGGAAGUACAUCAUCUUGAUGUGAAAACGGCAUUUCUUCAUGGAGAAUUGAAAGAGGUAGUCUACGUCACACAACCAGAAGGUUUUGUAGUAGAAGGAAGUCAGAACAAGGUGUACAAAUUGAACAAAGCACUAUAUGGUCUUAAACAAGCUCCUAGAGCCUGGAACACAAAACUGAAUACAAUUCUCAUAGAAUUGGGUUUUGUUAAAUGUUCAAAAGAGCCAUCCAUUUAUCAGAAAAGGGAACAAGAAGAGCUCCUUGUUAUAGCAGUCUAUGUUGAUGACUUACUUGUCACAGGAUCCAACUUAGAGAUGAUACUAGAAUUCAAGAAGGGAAUGGCAAGAAAAUUUGAAAUGAGUGAUCUAGGAAAGCUCACCUAUUAUCUUGGAAUUGAAGUUACUCAAACUGAGAAUGGUAUUCUAUUGAAUCAAGAAAGGUAUGCAAAGAAAAUUCUUGAAGAAACUGGUUUUGGAGAAUGUAAUGCAGUACAGGUACCAAUGUGUGCAAAUCUGAAGUUAAGUAAAGCUCCAGAAGAAAAGAGAAUUGAUGAGAAAGAAUAUAGAAGAAGUAUUGGAUGUCUUAGAUAUUUACUCCAUACAAGACCAGACCUAUCUUAUUGCGUUGGAGUUUUAAGCAGGUACAUGCACGAACCAAAAGAGUCUCAUGGAGCCGCUCUGAAACAAGUUCUCAGAUACUUACAGGGAACUCAAUCCUAUGGACUUUGCUUUAACAGAGGAAACAAGACAGAACUAAUAGGAUUUAGUGACAGCAGUCAUAAUGUAGAUGAAGAUGAUGGCAGAAGCACUACUGGUCACAUUUUCUAUCUUAAUGACUGUCCCAUUACAUGGUGUUCACAAAAACAAGAAACUGUUGCACUUUCAUCAUGUGAAGCUGAAUUUAUGGCUGCUACUGAAGCUGCUAAACAGGCUAUUUGGCUCCAAGAACUCUUACAAGAAGUUACAGAGAAGUAUAGUGAAAAGGUUGUGAUUCUUAUUGACAAUAAGUCAGCAAUAGCUCUAACUAGGAACCCAGUGUUUCAUGGCCGUAGCAAACACAUCCACAAAAGGUAUCAUUUCAUUCGGGAGUGCAUUCAAAAUGAUUUGGUUGAAGUAGAGCAUGUUCCCGGAGAAAUUCAGAAAGCAGACAUACUCACGAAAGCCCUCGGAAGAAUCAGAUUUAAAGAGAUGAGAGAUCUCAUAGGAGUUCAAGAUGUGAAGAAAAUAAACUUCAAGCUUAAGGGGGAGAUUGUUGUAUAAGCUUGAAGAUUAUGAAGAUAACUUGAGAUAAAAGUCUCUAGUUUUAAAAGGAGAGUUUAGAUAUUUUGAGAUAAAGAUUAGAUUGUAUUAGGAGUUAUCUAAUAUAUCUAAUAUGUUGUAAUUUCUAUUAGGGUUAGGAAUUGUAUUCUCCUAUAAAUAGAGGUCAAGUUAUGACAUUAGGGGAUAUGAGAGCUUUGUGUGUUUAGGGUUAUGAAUGUAUGGUUUUGAGUCAGUUUCCAUACUAAUAAAAGAGAGAGUCUUUUACAUCUUCAUAGCCUUUGGUUAUCUUGCUCUUUAAGGUUUUGAUACAAGAAUAAGAGUGUCCAUAUAUAAUUUUGAUUCGGUGUUGGAAAGUAUAUUGUCAAAUUAAAAUGUAUCUCCCUUGGCCUUUCAUAUAUGUGUCUGAGUGUCUCUAUAUAUACACGAUCUCGCUUCGGUUUCUCAAAAUUGGAGCAUUAACAAUCUCUACGUUAUACUUUUAUCAAAGAAAAGAAAGAACAAUCUCUACGUUAUACGUGAUGAAUAGUUGAAUAUAUACGGUUACAAUUAGAGUUAAACAAUUGCAGUUUGGAACAUUUUUGUUUCUUCUUACAAUAACCAAUUCUUCUUACAAUAACCAAUAGAUGAUCCUAACUUUUACCACGAGACGACUAGUCCCCCAAGGAGAUAGAUUUUUUGUGUGUGUUUGCAAUUAGAGAGAGAGAGAGAGAGAGAGGAAAAUAUAAUUAAAGUUGUAAUAGUCUGACUUGUGUUGUAACUUGUAAGAAAACAAAGUCCCUAAUUAAACGAAACGCCCAAACCUAGUAUGUAUAUCAUUACUGCUAAGAGAUUCGCUUGAUGUGGUAAAUUCAUGGUUCCACGUAAAUUUUAUUUUGGUGAAUUGGAUUCUUUUUACUUGGUUUUUGGUUUCUAGGAGAUGAAUUAGAUGUUUAUAUACACUACAUCAAAAUUUUAAAGAAACAUUGUAUUGACAUUGAAGCAAUUACAUACUUUGAUCAUUAUCGCAUUUCUAACAAAGUGUAAAAGUUAUAAGUAAUGACUGGAAAACUAAUUUGGCUAAACAUUAAUCAAUUAUAGUAAAAAAACAAUUUUGUUUAUAUUAAUUAUAAGGUUUAGAAUUUAAGUUUUAGGACUUAGGAUUUAGCAUUUGGAAUUGAGACUUUAAUUUUUUUUAAUUUUUAGACUUUAAAAUUUAGUUUUUUGGGUUUAGAACUUAGAAUAUUAAAUUUGGGAUUUGACUUUACAAGAUUUGUUAACGUUUUGGGCUUUUAAUUUUUUUGAAUAUUUUCUUAUUUUUGAUAUAAAUUUAGAAUAUUUUCAUAAAUUUUCUUUUUUGAUAAUUUGAGAAAAAUUAUACAGCUCAUAAAUAAAGAAAUAAACAAAUUUAUAUAUUAAAAACACUUUUGGAAAGAUAUCUUCCAUUUGUCUUUUCUGAACCCACUUUAUUGCCAAGUCCUUAUAUACCUCCAUUUCCACGCUACACCCAAAUCUCGUACAAAGCAGAAAAAAGACAAAAAUGGAGACCAAAACCAAUUUUCUCCCUUUUCUCCUCAUGAUUUUCAUCUUUUCUCAGUUUUCGCUCUCAACUUCUAAAAGGAUCCUAAACAAUCCCUCUGUUUUCUCACCGUCUCCGAGUUCGUCGAGCAGUAAUGCAGAGAAACUUAUAAAAUCAUUCAAUCUAAUGCCUAAGUAUGACGUUAAUGUCAUCCCAAAAGGAAGCCCCGAUGCUCCAAGACUCAUUGAGAGACAAAUUGAUUUUCCAGCGACGAUCGGUUCCCAAAACGCUUCAAAAGGUCCAUCUGUUCAAGAGUUUGGCCACUACGCUGGUUAUUACAGCCUUCCUCACUCCAAAUCAGCCAAGUAAAGUUUUAAACGGUUCAAAUUAAUCCUAACAAAAUAAUGAUUUGCUCUAAUGGAGUUCAAUUUAGUAGUUACUAUAGACAUGGAUACGUUAAACCGAUUCUGUUUUCUUUUAUAAUCUUAUUGAUUUUGGUUUUUGCAGGAUGUUCUACUUCUUUUUUGAAUCACGGAACAAAAAUACCGAUCCGGUUGUGAUAUGGUUAACCGGUGGACCGGGCUGCAGUAGCAGUGUCGCUAUGUUCUACGAGAACGGUCCCUUCAAGCUCUCAGAGGAUCUGUCUCUCACUUGGAACGAUUUUGGAUGGGACAAGGUAACUGGUUUAGUAGAAAUAAAGUCUUUCUUGUCACCCAAGAAACAUAUCUAUCUACAGCAAACAUAGACAAAUUCAUUUCUUCUUAACUCUUGUUUUAAUAGGUAUCCAAUCUGAUCUACGUGGAUCAGCCAAUUGGGACCGGUUUCAGUUACACAUCUGCCGAAAGCGAUCUCCGGCAUGACGAGGCUGGUGUCAGUAAUGACCUUUAUGAUUUUUUACAGGUUUGAUGGAUGUUGGUCUUCCAAAUUUUGUUUUCUGUAUUGUUCUUUGAAUUGUAGUGACUUGAGUUCUAUCAUUGAAUUUUGGUAGGCUUUUUUUAAAGAGCAUCCAAAAUUCGUAAAGAACGAUUUCUUUAUUACCGGUGAAUCUUACGCUGGUCACUACAUUCCGGCUUUGGCUUCACGUGUUCACAGUGGAAACAAAAAGAAAGAAGGAAUUCCAAUCAACCUUAAGGUAAGUGACAUUACUUACUGGUUUUGUUUUGGGGGAAUUUUUAAACCAAAUUUUCUUGUUUAAUCUCGAUUGAAAUCAGGGUUUUGCGAUUGGUAACGGUUUAACCAACCCCGAGAUCCAAUAUGGUGCUUAUGGGGAUUAUGCACUGCAAAUGAAGUUGAUUUCAGAGUCUGAUCACGAGAGCAUCAAGCAAGAUUACGUUGAGUGUCAAAAUUUAACCAAAAAAUGCAGUAAUUUCAAUUAAAAACUCUUCUUCUCUAUUUUCGUUAGAUACAUUGUUCGAGUUAAAAGAUACUCCCUCCGUUUUCAAAUAGUUGUCGUUGUAGAGAAUUUUUUUUGUUUUUAAUUAGUUGUCGUUUUCAGUUUUCGAUGCAAAAUUUAUUACUUUUUUUAUUUUUUAUAUUUAUUUUUAUUAUGCAACUUGAUUUACUAUUGGUUAAAUUAUGUUUAGGUAGAUAAUUAAUGAUAUUUUUAUAUUGAAAAACUAACAACAUUAAUAGUUUCUUAAUUUGUGUGCAUAUAGUUAAAACGACAACUAUUCGAAAACAGAGGGAGUAUCAUUUUUAAAGAAACUUAUAAUUUGUUAAUAUCAGAUCUUGAUGGUGGUUUAGCUUGUGAUUCUGCUUUUGAUGUUUGCAACAAUAUCUUCAACAUGAUAGCGGCAAAAAAGAGAGGCAUAAAUGUAAGCAUAUAUUAAAAACCUACUAUACAAUUGAUUGUGUUUUCUCAAUAAAUCUUCUUUUGUUUACAAGACUUCCUCGGUUGUUUUGAAGUAUUAUGACAUUAGGAAGAAAUGUGUGGGAAGCUUGUGUUAUGACUUUUCGAAGAUGGAAAAUUUCUUGAACAAAGAAAACGUACGGAAAGCCUUAGGAGUUGGAGAUAUCGAAUUUGUGUCUUGUAGUAGCACCGUUUAUGAUGCAAUGACAGAGGAUUGGAUGAUUAAUCUUGAGGUCAAGAUUCCGACUCUUGUCAACGAUGGAAUCAAUCUUCUAAUUUAUGCGGGAGAAUAUGAUCUCAUUUGCAAUUGGCUUGGUAAGAUUGAUUAUAAGUUUUGGUUGCCAUAGUUAUUUUCUUAUAAACAUUUUAUUUUGGUUUGGAAUUGAAAAGUAGUAGGUCAAAAGCAUAUAUAGUUUCAUUUGUGCUAUCGGUUUAGCUAAGCUUAGAUUUUGGUUACAUCCCGAAUCAAAUAUGAUAUUUACUGGAGCUAUAAUUGUUACUAUUUUGUUAGUGAGAUGAAAAUGGUUUUGUCUAGGUUUAGAGUUUUGAAGGGUUUGUAUUAUGGAGCGCAAUAGUUUCACAUUUUGGUAUUUACUUGUUUAUUCUUGUUCAACUAAGUUUAAUUGAUUAAUUUUCUCGGGUAUACAGGAAACUCGAGGUGGGUAGACCAAAUGAAUUGGUCAGGCCAAAAGGGUUUUGGAUCAGCGAAAAACGUACCAUUCUUAGUAGAUGGUAAAGAAGCCGGUUCACUGAAAAAUUAUGGUCCUCUCACUUUUCUUAAGGUAAAUAAAAAAAAAGUCGACGAACUAAACAUAUUAUUAGUGUAAUAUAAUUAAAACGGAACCUUUUGUUUUGAAGGUUCAUGACGCUGGACACAUGGUUCCGAUGGAUCAACCUAAGGCUUCUCUUCAAAUGCUUCAGAAUUGGAUGCAAGGAAAGCUUAGCACUCCGAAUGUUCGGGGAUUUGGUCAAUGAUUCUAAUGUAUAGAACAUUUGAUUUCAAAAUAAUAUGAUAUUAUUAGCUUUCAUCUACAACUAAAUAUGUCCUUGUAGUUUUAAAACUAUUCUCGAUGCUUAAGCUUAACCAUGAUUGAUUAUUUAGGGACUGUUGCCAGAACCUUAUAUUUCUCAUCCUUUGAAAUUUGUUGCCAUAAACCCCAAAAAUUUGUUAACGUCGCAGACUCAUAUUAAACUAUCAAAACAAUAACGUCAACCGAUUCUUUGAAAAAAAACGUAUAAAGUCUAGCUAAAGAUGACUCAUAUUACCUUAGAAUGAGCGAUUCACUAUCAACAUCUUGCGGUUUACUUAUACACUAACUAACACAAUUGAACAAUAAAAAUACUCGAAAUAAUAUAAAACUUUGAGCUAAUGCGGAGAUUCAAUCCUAGUAAGUAAAUCACUCAUCAACUUAGAUAGGAAAUGCCAAAACAAAAAAAAAGGAGAAUAUGAUUUAAAUGAACAUAAGUUUAAAACAAACAAAACACAUAUUAAUCAAAACAAAUCAUAAAUAGGUUCUUCCUUAACAAUCUGAUGAUGUUGUAAAGUUUCAAUGUCACUUGCUAUGUUGUUAUUGCCUCCAUUUUCCUUUGCAACUCUCUCCUCUGGUUGGAUGUUGCGAGAGUCCUCAUGGAUCAUUUGGUUAUGGUUAGUUUUACGUGAUCUCUUUUUGUUCCUUGCAUUAUAUCUCUUAAAUUUCUCUUCGAUGGUCUCAUUUUUGUAGUGCAUCGAUGAAAUAUGUGCAGCAAACUUUUGUGAAGUAUCAAACACACGGUUACAUUUAGGACAUGUAUAUGGACCAUAUUUUUUAUAUGGUAAGCUAUGUGUCCGACCAUCGUAUUCACCAUUUUCCUUAGAAUCAAAAUCAUCAAAAGUUUCUUCAAAAUGUUUGGUGGCUCCACAAUGUUUCUUCACUGGUUGAUGAUAGGAAACAUAUUGGUGAGGAUGGUGUUUUGGUGAAAAGGAAAACAUGUCUAAAUUCCUACGAAAUACAGAAGUUUGAUGCGGAAAAAUGGUAUUGAGAGGUGUAGGAUUCAAGAUCUCGGACUCUUUUUCAACAAAAUUUGGAGGGUAAAGUGGAGAAUUGAAGAUGUUGGGAUUCAUGGCACGUUGAUAUUCAUUUUGGGAAGUAAUAAGAUUAUUGGUAGGAACAAUAGCAGAAUAGCUAUUUUUGAUAGUUUGAGUGAUAGAGAUCUGAGAAAGAUGAGGGUUAUUUGAGAUUUUAGUUGUGGAAGGCAUCCCAAAAGUAGAAACCAUGUUUUUUCUCAUAUGAUAAGACAUAUGUGAAUUGCUGAAAUCAAAAGAAGAUGAAGAAACAUGUGAAUCUUGAUAACAAUUAAACGCACGAGAGGAAGAAAACAAACCAUGAUGGUUCGAGUGGUCAGAAGUAUUGAACAUUGACUGAACUAUCUUAGACUCGUGAUUCCUAAGGUUGGAACUCAUUUCGAUGGGAGUAAAACCACGAAUAUUCAUAGUAUCAUCACCAUAAGAGUACAAACCGUUUGGAAUUGAAGUCAUUUUGAAAAUCGACAAUGUGUAUUUUACAUUUUAACUAUGUCGCCUUUUAUACUGGUACGUACAUAUUAGUAAAGGAAACAUAGAAAUUCAUAAUAAUAAAAUACAUUAAACACGAAGGGAAAAAAAUCUAGCCCAAAUUUAUUAUUUUGAAUUAUAAUAUAUAUUUUGAUGCAUAUAAUCUUCAAUUAUUCAUUAUUACUUUCUAACAAAAUAAACUUCUAUAUGGAUGAUAAUAUUUUGAUAAAGUAAAAAAAUUUAGAUUUCUUUUUAUAUAUGCAAUGAUCUGGCAAACCUCUUAUGUGUCCCAUGCAUGUUUUUGGACCACUAAAUACUUGUUGACUCCACUUUUGUUCCACGUUUUAAUUUUAUGUUUGCAUUUCAAAAAAGGUAUCAACUUAUUUUGCAUUUAAUAACCAGUUUUAAAAUUACUAUGAAUUCAAAAAUUCUUAACUAUAGAAGUUUUAUUUUCAAAUUUUAAGCAUCUUUUCAUAUAUAUUUCUAAUAUUGAUGUAUUUUUCCACCUCUUAGAAAGCAUUUGGGAUACAGUAUAGUAUAUUUCCAUGUAAUUGUCUAAUGAUGUAAUUCUAGUGGUCAGAAAAUUUGAGAAACAUGAUGCCUUACACUUUAUAUUUUUUCUUUUUAUAUAUAUUCUGAAGAUAAAAUAUUUUAAAUUGUGUAGGUCGAAGAUUGGUUUUGUUUAUGAAGUAAGUUGAGGUUUGUUUUGAUGAAUUUAUGUUUACAGUAUGAUUCAUGUUUUAGACAAUUUUAUGUAGAUUUAUGAUUAUUAUUUUUAACUUUUUAAUAAGAUAGUAACAUAUUAGAUAUAAUUAAUACACCACUAUGUCGAGAUUUUUUUUCUUCUUCCAAUAUUUAUUUAAUAUUUACCAUCAACAUUGUUUUCAGUGUAAUAAGUUUGAUAUGAAAUAUAUGGAAAUUUAUAUAUAAUAUUUAGAUAAAUUUAUUUAUUAAUAAUAUAAUUUAGAUGUAUAUAUAUAUGUAUGAUGACAAAAAAAUAUAUAUAUAUGUAUAUUUAUUUAAUUUUCUAAGUAUUAGAUAUAAUCUAAUUCAUUUAAUAAUUUUAAAAAAGGAAAAUGAAAAAGAUAAAACUAAAUAUUUGAUUGGGUAAAAAUAAACAAUAUUUUUUCUUGUGGGAUAUAUUUUUCUUAUCGGCUCUCUCUUUAAGCAAAAAAAUAAUAAAAUACUAUAUUUGAGAUAAUUUAGUUACCUAUUCAAAUAUAAAUUAAACUAUAUGAUUGGGUCAAAUUUACCCUUUUCAUGAAAUCUCUUUCCACAUAUAAAAAGUAAAGAUAUAUACUGCUGGAAUAAAAUUAUGAAUGUCUAUUUGUAAGAGUGGGUAUUAGGUAACAAAUUUGAUAACAGGUUGAAAUUUUCAGUGUAUUCGGAAGAAUUUAAGAGCGAUAAGAAUGAAUUUUCAAGAUUCUUUUUAUCUUCAAUCCUUCGAAAUGCAAAUGUAAAAGCGGAUAAUUUGACACGAAAAGUUUGUACCGAUCCGCAUCAUAUCACUUAUGUAAACAAUAUUCCUCAAAAAUAGCUAUUUUGAGUUUUAAUUAAAAGUUUUUGAAAAAAAAAAUUGAAAAUCUCUGUAUACUCUUAACAUAUAAAGUAAUACAUAACAGCCUGGAAAAAAACUUAGUAAAUGUCCACUUUAGUUUGCCAACCGUUGAGGAAAAACAGAGUUAUGUACACUUAGAGUCAAACUAGAAAAAGACUCUUGUCUUUUUGGUAUUCAUCAUCCAAUCACUCAUAGUUUGACUCGCUAUAAUCUAAAUUAAUUGUUUAAUUUCAAUAAAAUAUAAAUCGAUUCUCUUUGUGUCAACAAAUAUAUAGUAGUAUAAAUUAUUUUACUGCCCCUUUCACGCAUAUAAGAAAUGAGUAGUUAUUUUUUUGAAUAAUUCAUAUGGAUGCAAUUAUAAUAUUGAUUAGAAAAAAUACCAUAAUUGCCUGUCUAAGAGGUGACGAAUGAGAAAUAUUCAAUGAUACUAAUAAUUUAUGCCUUUAUGGUGCAAAAAUGUUUAAAAGCAAUAAUGAGUAUAUUUGUUUCUUUAUUAAUUGCGUCUGGAACACCAACGAGACAAUACUGUUUUCUCUCCAUAUCGUCAUGAGAUGCAUUAAACAUUACCACUGAAGGCCACUCGAGAUUUUGUUCACCACCAAGUUUUCUAGAUUUUUUUUUUUUUUAAAACAAAAUGUUUGGGUCGAAAUCCACAUAAUUUAUGAAAAUCGUAGAAUAUCAUUAUCUUUUGCAAAGUUUAUAGUAGACAACGACAACGUGGAUAUAAUAGAAAAAUAAUUUGUUAGCGUGCAAUUAUACGUUAUAAUAGCUUUUCUAUGAAGAAAAUAUUUAAAUAUCAAUGCAAAUGACUAUGAUAUACUCAAUAAGAAAAUCAAAUUCAAAUUUUUUAAUUAGAAAUAUAUAAGAACAUGGGAGUCUCUCAUUAAGUCUCUUAUCCAUAUAAAAUUAUAAAAUAUCGAAAAGGUAAGAAAGAAAAUAAAGUGAGUCUCUCAUUUGAGAGAUUUUGAGAACAUAUAGAGAGACUCAUAUGACACAUGUCUAAAUAUAACUAAUUAUGAAUUUUAUUUAUAGUUUAAAUUUUAAAUUAAAAAAUAAAUUAUAUAAAAGUUAUCAAACUAAUAUAUUUGAGAGACUAAGAAAAAAGUUCUCCCACUGCACAUGUCCUAAGUGAAAAUAUGAUUGCUAUCAAAAUUUUGGAUCAUAUGAUAGAAAACGAUUCCAAAGACAUGCUCACUAUUAGGCCUGGGCGUUCGGUUAUCGGAUCGGUUUUUUCGGAUUUCGGUUUUUUUGGAUAUAGAUUCUAAUAUCCAUACGGAUAAUUAUAGAAUUCAGAUCAGUUUCGGUUUGGAUAUUUCGGGUUUCGGAUCGGUAUAGAUAUAAUAUUCAAUAUCCGAUUUAACAAAAAAAUAUAAAAAUAAUCCGAACAAUCCGAAAACCGCAAAACAAAAUUGAAGUAAUUAGUUGAACUAACAUGAAACCAUAGCAAACCAUAGAGUUUCGAAACCAAUGUGAGACAUAAAACCAUACUAAUACAUCAAAGUUUUAGAAUGAAGGUAAACCAUAACAUCCUAAAGAGUAAAGAAGUAGAAAAAUCAAGAUUAGGGAAGUGGAUCCCGUAUUACUAGGGAAAUCGAAAUAAGGAAAGUUGAUCUCGUAUUGCUAGGGACUAGGGUUCUAGAAGAGAGUUCGGAUGUGUUCGGAUACCCAUCGGAUAUCGGAUCGGAUCGGAUAUUAUCCGAUAUCCGAAGGAUGUAAAAAUCAAUAACCGAUCGGCUAUUCUCUCGGAUGCGGUUCGGAUUUACAUUUUUUAUAUGAAUACUUUUUACAUUAAAAGAGCAUAAUAUUGAGAAAACUAAUUAUAAAGGUGGAUUUGAACAUCUACUUGUGAGAGUUUCGAUUUGAUAUAUUAUAUAUGAGCCUAUUAUAUAUCUAAUUUAUAAAUGUUAUGGUGGUGAUGGCAAUGGGUUAUACUGCAUAUUAUUUUUGAUUCACGAGAUUAACUUGCAUUGGAGAUGGAGGGUAAACUUGCCAAAAAUGGCGACUUGCAAGAUUUUUUUGAAGAAAACUCAUUAAUUUUUAAAUUUAUUUGAUUACUACAAUUUUGGAUUAGUAUUUAUUUUUUUCAAUUAAAUUUUAAUAAUUACUUACAUAUCAACCUAAUAUCUACCUUGUUUUGCUCUUGUGAAUUUGAAGAUAUUUAAACCCUUUUUAAAAUCUAUCAUACAAGACUAGAUAACAUUUCAACAUUUCUACCACGCAUUUUCUCAGUUGACGCAAGUUUAUCUCUCCUCUACUAGCUUGACUAGUUUAAACGUAGCGGUUGCGGUUGCGAUUGUGGAAGUUUGCAGAAGCGGGCGGUUGCGGUUUCAAGCGUUAUUUAGCGUUUUGACCGAUUGGUUUAACGGUUGAAAACAUGUGCGUUUCCGAAAGAUUUACGACUGGUUGAUCAGCGGGUACAAAAGCGGUUAAACCAAAAUUAAUAAAUUUAAUAUAUGAUUAGAAAAAGUAUUAAAACACCCAAAACUAUCAGUAUUAAAAAGUAUAAAAAUUUUAAACAUGAUUAAUGUUAAAAAACCAUAAAUAAUUUUUCAAAUAAAUUUUAUAUUGAAAACAAAAAUAAUUAUUAAUAUUAGAAAAUAAAAAUGAGAUAAUUAUUAUUUUUUUAGAAUUAACGUGAAUAUAUAUAAGACUUGAUAAUAUAUAUAUUAAUUUAUUCAUUUUUUUUUUAGUUUCUUAUUUUUUUUAAACCAACCGCAACCGCCCGCAAUCGCAAACGCUUGCGGGAAGGAGCUUUCGAAAUCUAGCGAUUUCGAGUGGUUCAAAGCGGUAUGGAACGGUUUCUAUGAUUGGUACCAACUGCUAACAACCGCAACCGACCGCUAACAACCGCUAGACGGAUGCUAGCGGGAGAACCAAUCAAGCCCUAAAGCACUAAUUGAUUGCAUAAUGCGCAACCGUCUAAGCUCCUUCUCGUCGGAGGAUCCAUUAGACAGAAUCUCUCUCAUUGGUUUCUACUUUGGUUGUAUCAAUGGCCCAUUUUAAGUGUGGCUUAACCUCAUUUGUUUAUAUAAAUGUUCCAUUGCUCUCUUUGUAUAAGAGCUAGGUGUGUUUUUGGGGUUUUGUUGUAAAAUGUAAAAAUUUUUAUUUGGUAUAAAUCUUAACAUUAAACCCCAAAAAAAAAGUUACCAGUUUGACAAAAAGAAAAAGUUACCAUGAACCGAUAAUCUUAUAUAAGACUAAAAACGUAACUAACACAUACAUUUAAGUUCCCUUUGUAACACAUGUAAAUGUAAUGUAGCAAAUGUAAAGAGUACACCACGAAUCAGGAAACUUUUGUUUGGCCAUUUGUACCAUAAUAGUUAAUACUUACACAUAUGUGGAAAUGAGUGUGUGACUAUUUCUGCGUGAAUCAAAUACAUGUACCUUAAAUGAUGUAAACAGUAGAUCUAUCAAUUGUACAUCUAUGGGAUACAUACUCAUCGAUGGGUCAUUAGCUCUGAAGUUGAUUAGUCGGUCCAAAAAUACACCUGAUCAUCAUGAAAUUCAUAUAUAUAUAUAUAUAUAUUUAUAUGUUUGUGUGUGUAAAAUCAAUUAAAGAUUUAUUCAUGCAUGCAAGUGUCCAUCAAAGUAGUACGAAUGAACAAUUAUGAAGGGUUCUUUUGGCACUUUACUAAAUGUAAUAAUGAACACAAUAUUGGCAAGUCAACUCGUGAUGAUAAAUUUUUGGUUAAUAGAAACAAAAAUGAGUUUUUGUUUUGUUGUCACUUUAUAAUCAGACAGUUCCAUAUAGUUCACUGGUCCGUCCAAUGCAGUCUCCUCUUCCAACAUGUUUUCUUCCUUUUAUCCGUGUAAUAUCAUCACCACUUGGGGACUGUUUUUUUUUUUUCCUUUUUACUUUUGAAAUUCAUGAUGAAUACUAAUUAAGUAGCUAGUUGAUAUGCAUAUUCAUGAAAAUACAUUUGGACGAAUGAUCAAAUCAAGAAACCUGCUGAUAAUUUUAGUUAAUGACUUUUGUUCCGGAUUUAAAUAUUUGCAUUUCUCUUGAUAUUAAUGAUUCAAUUUUAAUUGUUUGGACCAUGCGUUUGCUGACAACUUCGAUUCAUUUUGACAACUCUACAACUAAUUUACAUCUUAAUAAGAAUCAAAAUGGAAGACAAUCGUGUACCAUAUAUACUUUAGCGGCAGCCCUUAUAUAUUUGUUAAAUCUCUAAAUCCCAUGUUUAAUAUUGUUGAAUAUAUAUAUGAAAUACGUACGUAGAUGAAACUAUUAUAUGUAUUUGACGAUAGAAGAAUAGAGUGGGGAAAAAAAAUAUAAGACCCGAUCAUUAUAUCAGAAUUCAAACUCUUUCACAUUGAUUUUAGUCAAAUUUACUAUUGAAAUCCUCAUAAACGUACAAUAAUCAUCUAGAGAGAUAAAGAAGGGUUUACCAAAACCAAAACAAACAAAAAAAUCAAGAGCGGCCAAAUAAACAUAUUUUUAACAGUUUGUUUUAAUCUAAUUUCAUCAAAACGAAAAGAGAAAAUGAAUAAUUGGAAAAUUGGAAAUCUAUUUUUUCAAACAAGAAAAAUAAAUAUGCAUGCAUGUCAAUCAUGUUGACUUCUCCACACCCAUAGCUUUCGAGACAAAAUGAAAUAUAAAACUAUUGGUUCCCCAAAUAAUAAUAAUAAUAAUAAUAAUAAUAAUUGAUACGAUGUGUCCAGAUCCAAGUCUCUCAUUAAAAGGACACAAAUUCAACCACUCCUCCAUAAACACAAAAGGUCCAUCCUAAAAAAAGGCAAGUAAGAGAUAACCAUUUCUCUCUUUUUUUUCUCUUCUUCGAACUUCAAUUCACUAACGAGAGAAAUGGGAAGAGCUCCAUGUUGCGACAAGACAAAAGUGAAGCGAGGGCCUUGGUCGCCUGAGGAAGACUCUAAACUUAGAGAUUACAUCGAAAAGUAUGGUAAUGGUGGAAAUUGGAUCUCUCUCCCCCUUAAAGCCGGUAAGUUCAUAAACAUGUUCUUAGUUAAACUCAAUUUUCUGGAUCACCUUUUCGAGCUUCUAAGCCCAAACAAGUGCUUAUGCCAUUCUUUGUUGUGGUUUAAGGUUUGAGGAGAUGUGGGAAGAGUUGUAGAUUGAGGUGGCUAAACUAUUUGAGACCAAACAUAAAACAUGGUGACUUCUCUGAGGAAGAAGACAGGAUCAUUUUUAGCCUCUUCGCUGCCAUUGGAAGCAGGUUCUCUAAUUAAUUCCUUCUAAAAUGAUCUUCUUUAAUUUCUAUAAGACCCUUACUAAAAAUGUAGAAGUGAUAUCAGUUUUUUGUCCACUUGCUUAUGAAGGUCCCUUAAAUAAAUAGGUUGUAGAAAAUAUUAUUCCACUCUCAUUAAACUAAUCUUGUAAGAAAAUAUUUUCUCCAAAAUCUAUUUUGAAUUUAUGAGUUAUUUGGAACUAAUGAUCAAAAUAUUUCUAAACGUGCUUAAUUUACACAUAAUUUUAGUCAAAACCACGAGCAACAUUUAUUCAUAAUUUAGUCAAAAACUACGAGUAACUUUAAUUCAUCAAGAGUGCAAUAUUUUUCUCCAAUAUUAACUACUAUUCUACUAAUAUACAUCAAUUGAAACUUGUAGGUGGUCAAUAAUAGCAGCUCAUCUACCGGGAAGAACAGACAACGACAUCAAAAACUAUUGGAACACAAAGCUAAGGAAGAAACUCUUGUCUUCUUCAUCUUCUUCCUCUUAUUCACCAUCAGCCAUGGCUUCUCAUCUAAACCCUAAUUCUCAGGAUGUGAAAAGACCAUUAACCCCAUCAACCACAAUCCCAUCUUCUUCUUACAAUCCGUAUGCUGAAAACCCUAAUCACUACCCAACAAAAUCACUCAUCUCCAGCAUCAAUGGCUUUGAAGCUGAUGAAAAACAGAUUUUUCCCUAUAUUAGCCCUAAUUAUCCUCAAGAUCCCUCUCUCUCGGACAGCAGCAACAACACCUGGGAAGCAAGUGGUUUCUUGCUCAACCACAAUAUGUGUGAUCACUACAACAACCACACCAGUUUUUCCUCAAACGUCAAUGGGAAGAGAUCAGAAAUUAUGAUGAAGCAAGAAGAAACAAUGAUGAUGAUGAUGAUAGACCACCACAUUGACCAGAGGACAAAAGGGUACAAUGGGGAUUUCACACAAGGGUAUUAUAACUACUACACUGGGCAUGGGGAUUUGAAGCAAAUGAUUAGUGGAACAGGCACUAAUUCUAACAUAAACAUGGGUUGUUCAGGUUCAUCUUCUAGUUCGAUAAGCAACCUAGCUGAGAACAAAAGCAGUAGUAGCCUCCUACAACACAAGUGCUUGCCCUAUUUCUACUCCUAGUUCUUAUAGAUCGUCUUAUAUAAAUAUAUCUUGGACUGACUGUUAGUAAUAUCAAAGAUUUGAUGGGGUAAGGGAGGAGAGAGAAUGAGAUAGAGUGCGACUAUGAUCACUUUUAUGGGAUUUUGUAUUUUUCUUUAUUAUUCUCUAUAUUGGAUUUCUAGUUAAGAAGAGACAAUGGGAGAUUUAAUUUGAUGAAACCCAAAAGGAUGUAUUUAUGGGUGAAGAGUAGAUCUUCUUUUUUGUCGAGAAGAGUAUAUCAUAUCAGCUUUCAGUUGAAACUUUAAACCAAAGUAUGUGAUCUAUAUGCACACACGCCUUGACAAUAUAUAUUAUACACACACUCCCCCCACACACACUGACACACACAUAUAUAUAUAUAUAUAUAUACAUAUAUAUAUAUAUAUAGCAUUGUUAUUGUUUCUAAAAUUAGAUAGGACUAUCUACCAUUUUAUGUAUAUGCUAUAAAUAGCAAAGAAAAUCAUAUAUAUACGUAAUUGGAAGAUAUAUAUAUAUAUAUAUAUAUAUGUAUGUAUGUGAGUUUUAUUGUUAACAACAAAAUAUGCUACAGAAAAAAACUUGGAAACUGAAAUGUAAGAUAGAUAAAUAAUUUGUAACUAAUGGUCUUUAUAUUUCAUAUGUAAUGAGAGUUCUCUGGCUAGUGUAUAUAAAAAAUUCACCAAUUAAAAAUCAAGUCGAACUAUAAUUAGUACGAAGAUUUUAGAAAAGAAAUUCAAAAACAAAUUCCUUUAGAGUUGGCUAUUUGGUCCAAAACAAACAAUAUCAUAUAAGAGGAAGAGUUGUUUAGAUUCUUGUAAGUUAUGCAAUCACCCUUUAACGAAAAAAAAGUCUUCUAACAAUCUUAACAUUCUUCAAAAAUAUAUAUUCAUCGAAUUGAAUCUCUAAGUCUCUUACCUGAAAAGAUAUAUUCAUCUACAUUUGUAUUUUUUUUUCUUAAUCGAAUGUAAAAUAAAUUUAAACCCAAAUUAACGUUUUUGCAACAUAUGCAACGGGUGAUUAACGAAAUUUAAAGAAAAUUAGACAAGAAUUGAACCUAAAAUUAUUUAUUUUGAAGUAUUAACAUGUAUAUAGUGAUAUACUAGUAUAGUUCCAGUUAAGGACUGUAGAAUGUCCGGUUUAUAAUUCAACUAAGAUGUAAUCUCGGUUCAUUGUUUGGUUUAAUGUGUUGUUGUAUAUAGGAUAUGUAACAAACUUUGAUUCAAUCUAAUGAAAAAAUAUGAGUUUCAUCAAAACACUAAUAUGGUAUCAGAGCUUUUGUCGUUCAAUUUCUCUGAAAAGCAAAUCAUCGCUACAUGCCUCAAUCAUAUCUUCUGUCUCCCAUAGCUCUUAUCGAAGAUAAACAGUUCCGAGUUUGCUUGUCAAUUAUUUCAAUCAGAUUCUGCUCUAAUUUUGCAGGCUCUCCAUGAUUUCUCUUGUUUCGUUCUUCCCAAAUCGUAUAGAUCGUUGUCUAAAACACAUAGCGCAUUAUCUUGUCUUAUGAAUUGUCUAUUAGACAAUCUCCAAUAUAAUUUUCUAUUUUAUCUUUUUAUAAUAGAGAUGGGUUUUAAUCCAAUGUAUUUUUCUAUUUUUUCGUCUAAAAAGUUUAACUAAAUUAUAGAGAAAAAAUAGAUCUUCUAUAUAAAAAAAUAGAAAAUAGAAGUAGGUUGGAAUGAAUUUUAUUUUAAAAUAUAGUAUAGAAACAAAAAUAAAAAUGAGUUGGAGAUGCUCUUAACAGCUCGAUAAUAUUAUCCUAAUCACAAGUGCCGUUUGUAUUGUUAACACUCAUUUUUUUUUUUUGAACAACAUAUUGUUAACACUCAUCUAUAUUUUCUGUUAUCGAUGUAAUUCCUAAAAAGAAAACACAUUGAAUUCAAACUCCACGAGAUAAAGUUUUAAAUGGGAUAACUUGUAAGAAGUCUUUGUUUCCACUAGACUAUCUAUUCAUUAUAAAGAGUACACACUACAAUAUAUAUAGGCAUCUAUACAAAUAUAUGUAUUAUUUGUUAUUGUGUUGUUUGUAUUCUAUUUUCGAGAACCAGUCUAAAGUUUUGACAGGCCUAAAUUAAAUAACGAGCACAAUGUAAGUAAACGAAAUAGUUUUAUUAUUACUUAAGUAUUUGUUAGAGUUAUAGAGAGAGAGAGAGAGGGAAAGGAUUGUAUAUAAAAGUCAUCACCUUUGGUCAGUAACUCGAGCGGCCAGGAGAAAUUGAUUGAUGGGAAUACAGACACUAUUCAUCUGUUCAAAAUGACAUAUAUGCCCUUGCCAGAUGUUCAUCUUUUCCUUCAGCACAUAUCCUUCGAUUACUAUUGUUCUCUGUUUUUUCUUUUUAAGAAAAUUUAUUGAAACGAAGAAAAAUUAAGGUAGGGGCAAUAAUGUUGGUCUGAUAAAACGUUACGUAUUAGUAUGUAUGAAAAAAUAAAUACAAAUAAUCGAAUAUAUAUUCUUUGAGACUUUCUAAAAAAGUUAAACGUUUAACUUAGUUUUAAUUAGUAGAGAUCAUAUUCAUCUAAAAAAAUCAUAUUCAUCUAAACAUUUAAGCGAACGGAAGAGUUGAAAUGAAAUGGAGGGAUGACACCAGGCUCAAGAUCUCUCUCUCUCUCUCUCAUAUGGCUAAGAACCGUUGCGGUAUUAGUGGACCGUUAGUUUGUGGUGAUGACACCUUUUCAUGGGCCGAUAUGUUAAGCUUUGGCCCACAAUAGAAUUGGGACAUAAAAUCCCAUAGGCCCUUUGUAUGGAUAUUGUUCAUCUCACAGUCUCACUACAUUUUCAAAUUAUACAAGACUGACAUCUCGUUAGUAAUAUUAGUAGAGAGAUCAAACAUCAUCCAAACUGAUGAAAGUAAGAAUACAAAAGUAUUAAAAAUAUAUAUAUAUGAGACUUUUAUAAGAAUACUAUUACAUAAUACAUCGAUGUAUAAAGAUAAAGACUAAAUCUAAUUUUUUAAAAUUAAGAUAUAUUUUUUAAAAAAUGUAAAUAAUAUUUUUACAGAUAAAAAUAAAUAUCCUAACAAUUUUUAUCAAACAUAUUGGGACAUUGUUGGCCCGCAAAUGGUUGAAGAGGUGCAACAAUUUUUUCAAUCUGGUGUACUUCCAUCUGAAUGGAACUUUACACAUAUUUGUUUGAUCCCAAAAAAGGUUAAUCCUUCAAGAAUGACUGAUUUACGGCCUAUAAGCUUAUGUUUGGUGAUUUAUAAGAUUGUAUCGAAGGUUUUAUGUGCGCGCCUUAAGGUUUUUCUACCUAGUUUAAUCUCAGCAACUCAAGGCGCCUUUGUUUCUGGAAGACUCAUCUCUGAUAAUAUCCUACUAGCCCACGAAAUGGUCCAUGCGUUGAUAACAAAUGCACAUUGUGACGAGGAUUUCAUAGCCAUCAAAACCGAUAUGUCAAAGGCUUAUGAUAGAGUGGAAUGGAAUUUCUUAGAAGAGUUGCUUCUCCGGCUUGGCUUUAAUAUUACCUGGAUACAAUGGAUAAUGAGCUGCGUUAAAUCGGUCUCCUAUUCGGUACUCCUCAAUGGCUCCUCUUAUGGUUUUAUUAAACCAGAAAGAGGUAUCCGUCAAGGAGACCCGCUUUCACCAUUUCUUUUCAUUCUAUGUGCUGAAGCGUUAGUACAUAUAAUGAAUAAGUCUGAACAUGAAGGCCGAUUAACAGGAAUGCGUCUAACACCAAGCUGCCCGUCGAUACAACACCUUCUAUUUGCGGAUGACAGUUUGUUUCUUUGCCAAGCUACCUUCAAAGAAUGCUCUGAAUUUAAGCGCUGUCUCUUACUCUACGAAAAAGCAUCAGGGCAAAUGAUCAAUUUUAAUAAAUCUGCUAUAACGUUUGGGAGGAAGCUUGACCCAUAUAUGAAGCAGCUCAUACGUGAUUUUACCGGUAUUGAGCAGGAAGGUGGUACUGGUAAAUACUUAGGUCUCCCGGAAUGCUUUAGUGGAUCAAAGAGCGCACUUCUUGGGUAUAUUAGUGAUCGCUUGAAAUCAAGAUUAAGCGGAUGGUAUGAGAAAACUCUUUCAUUGGGAGGGAAGGAAGUUCUUAUUAAAUCUGUGGCUUUAGCAUUACCGGUCUAUGCUAUGUCUUGUUUCCGAUUGACUAAGUAUCAAUGUCAGCAAAUUACAAGUGCGAUGUCAAGCUUUUGGUGGAAUGCGAGUGAAGACAAACAUAAGAUGCAUUGGGUUUCUUGGGAAAAAAUCUGCAAGUCUAAGACAAAUGGUGGCUUGGGGUUUAGAGAUAUAGGUCGUUUUAACCAAGCCCUCCUAGCGAAGCAAGCUUGGCGCCUCCUUGAUGACCCGCAGUCACUGUUCUCUAGAGUAUACAAGGCUAAAUAUUUCUCGAAUAAGAGUUUCUUGGAAGCUAAGAUUGCCUAUAGACCCUCUUAUGCAUGGAGAAGUAUUUUAUUCGGCCGAGAACUUCUUGAAAGAGGUCUCAUGAAGACCAUUGGAGAUGGCCAGAACACAAGCGUGUGGGUAGAUAAAUGGAUCUUAGACACUUUUCCUAGAAGACCGAUAAACAAAGAUCUAAUGAUGGAUUUGAAUCUUAAGGUAUCUUCCUUGAUAACAACACAAGGUGAAUGGAAUGUUCUACGGCUUGCAGAACUGUUUCCUCCCGAUGAUGUCACCCACAUUAGAUCAUUCCCUCCAGAGGUUAGUGUACCGGAUAGAUGUGUAUGGGCUUACACAAAGGAUGGCAAGUAUUCAGUCAAGAGUGGUAAUUGGGUUCUAACGAGGGAAGCAAGUUUACUGGAGAUUGUGACGGCGGACGCUCAAGCCAUUAAUAAGACCAAAGAAAGAGUCUGGAAGAUUGCCACUGCUCCAAAAAUUAGAUUAUUUUUCUGGAGAGCAUUAUCUGGUGCUUUGGCAAUUGCAGAUUGUUUGCGAACUCAUGGCGUCGCUGUUAACCCGGGCUGCCAACUUUGUGGAAAUGGGAAUGAAACAAUUUCUCAUGUCUUGUUUGAUUGCACCUUGGCUCAAAAUGUCUGGCUCAUCACAGGCCUUCCUAGGUGGUCCCAGGGCUCGACGUUUUCCAUUCAUGAACAGGUUGAUUAUAUUUUAAAUCUAAUGGAAAAACAAGAUAUCGAUAGAGAGUUGAGAGAGGCUAUUCCCUGGUUGGUUUGGGAGAUUUGGAAGGCGAGAAACUCCACCUUAUAUGCGGCAAAGACAAAUUCUCCACAUUUUGUAGUAGCCAAGGCUUUGGAGGAAGCAAAGGAAUGGUUGCAGCAACAAGCUCUCUCUCAACAGGAACACUCUCAAAGUUUGCAGCGACAAGUUAUUGGUGAAAGAUUCUGGACUAAGCCGGCGACAGGUAAGCUUAAAUGCAAUCUACAUUCCUCAUGGCUCACGGAUUCAUUCCACAUAGGAGGAGCUUGGAUCCUACGAAAUCAUGAGGGUUAUGCAGUCUUUCACGCUCGGGAUGCUUUUCUCCCAAUGGUGAAUCGAUUAGCUGCGGAACUUCAAGUUAUACUUUGGUGUCUUCGGAGUUUAAAGGAGCUGCGGAUAGUUUCUUGUGAAGUAUGGUCAGACAGUCGUGCGGCCAUUGAUGCGUUAACUUCUCCGGAAGCGUAUCCUAAAUAUCGUUCUCAGAUCAUCAAAAUUCAACAAGUAAUACGGGUGAUGCGGGAGGUUAGUUUUCACCUCUCUUCACCGAAAGCCAACUCUUUGGCCAAGGAUAUUGCUUGUAGUGUUACUCGAGAAGGACGAUUCACAUCGUAUUUAGCACGCGGCGGUCCGGCUUGGUUACAUAAUCGGAUUGAAAGUGAACGGCGAGGUCGAAGAUGAAUCUGGUUUAUUACGUCUUCCCCUGUUUUCUUUGUUGCUUUCCCCUGUUUUCAUUUUACUCUGCUUUUGUGAACUCUGGUUUUACAUUUUAUUAAAGACGACAAAAAAAAAAAACUAAAAUAUUAACAAAUAUCUAAAAAUUUUAUAUCGAAUCUCGAUCACGAUUUGUAAUUUUGAUCGAUCUUGUUUCAGUUUUGGUCGAUUUCAUUGAUUUUUAAAAUACAAACAAGUCUAAAAACUAAAAUUGGUUAAUUAAAAAAUAGCAUUCUAGAUUCCAAACGAAAAUCAAGAAUAUUUUUAAGUAUUUUCCUACGUAGAAAUUACUACACGAGCCGUCGGCUGUUGGUGCUAUUGGUUAGCUUUUUUUGAAUAUACAGUAUCUUGAAACAGCUCCGAAGAGCCCAUAAUACUAGAAUGCGUGGCUUAAUUAAGCUUAUCAUUAAACUUUGGUGACUGUACCGUCAAUCAUAAAACAAAACCCAAACAACCAAAACCUGGAUUCAACUUCUCUAUUUUUAUUAUUUACCAUAAUAUUAGAAUUUUUUUUUUUUUUUUUUGUCAUCCGCAAUUAAUUAGCGUUCAAAAGAGCCAUUCCUAAAGAUUGUUGUUUACAUAGGUAAUUUGUACGAAUUUUUCGUGCCAAACAUAAUAUUAGAAUGUUGUUUAAGAGUUAAUUUGUUUUUAUUUUUUGAUAAUACUGUUUUGGGCCUUGUGCGACGUGAUGGUAUCCUGCUAAUCACCGACAUUAUUAGAUAAUUAUACGACUGAAGUUAUCCACAACUCACCUACCUAUCUAUGCAAACAUACACGUGAUGGUAUCCUGCUAAUCACCGACAUUAUUAGAUAUUUAUUGUUGUUUAAGAGUUAAUUUGUUAUCUAUGCAAACAUACACGUGAUGCAUGCUAUCAUGCUUAUCUCUUCUUCUUAUCAUAAGAUAUUUUAUUUUUUUCAAAAACAAAAUUUUUAUUAUUUCUAAUUAAAAACUUUUCAAUCUAUUCUAAUUUCCAAAUAUCAUUUUCAAAUAUUAAAAUAUAAUAAAAUAGAUGCUGAGAAAAUUUUCUAUAUAUAUAUAUAUAUAUAUAUACACACAAUGAAUACCAUUAUAACAUGUUAUCAGGUUUAAAUUGUGUAAUUUUUUUUUUUUUUUUUUUUGUAUUUUUGACUUUUUCAAUUACAGAUGCAUCGCGAAUCCAAAGCUAUUUUUAAUUGCAUCCAAAAUAUCUACUAUAUUUUUUCUUAACGCAACUUAUUGUGCAUAGAUUAACAUCUGCAUUCACUAUUCUACUUUGACAAAACGAACAACAUCGAUGAACUAGCACUAGAUGCAAACGUCGUAAGUCAAUUAUAUGAACCUUCUUUACUUACACCUUGUCACUCUGUUACUCGUUAUCAUAAAUAAAAUUUACAUUUAUAAUUAGAUAAGAAAAUUAAAUUUUUUCAAUAUUAUUUUUCUUUAAAUUUAAUUUAACCAAUGACAUACUAAAUAAAAAAUAGUGAAUGCAAAAAUAUGUCCUAGUACUUUCAAAAAAAAAAAAAAAAGAAUAAGCAAAAACUGACAUGCAAAUUAAAUGAAAUUUCUCGUUCAAUUUUCUAUGAAGACUGGACUGGUGCAUUGUUUAAUAUAUUACUAUAGGAAUUUUUGUUGAUUUAUUUUCCUCGUAAUUUCGUAUUUUCUAGAUUUAGAAAGAGAAAAAUAGUGUGAGAAAAGAGGAGAGCCACCGGUGAAAUCAAUGACAGAUCUUAACAGUUUUAGAAAAUGGUGCAAACGGAGGAGCAAACGAACUCCUUCAUGGACAAAUUUUGGUAAGUAUUUUCCCAACCCAUAGAAAUAGGUUUUUUCCAAAGGGCUUUGCGCCUUUGCAUUCUUUUCUCUAAAUUUAAAGUUAUACCUAUUUUUCGGAAUUUCUUAUACUCAAAUCCACGAGCUAUCAGAUAGGUCAUCUUAUGAAGUCGUUUCUAGCUGCUACAGAAGGAACCAUAAGCUGAUCUACCAGCAAUUAGAAAGACUCGAGUCUUAGUUUUCCAUAGAAAUUGAGAGAGAUAAUAUCUAUAGGGGUUACCUGAGAGUUAUCGUCGAAUUUAUACAUCCGUCUCUAAUUAUCGUCGAAAUCGUGAUCUACCUGCCUCAAAAGAAUGGAGAAAAAUUAUAACAUAGAUCUAGUGUGUAUGAUUAUAGGAAAUGUGUAUGAUCAUGACACUAAUAUAAUAAAAAAAUAGUGUUUUGAGGUUAUGUUUUUAGUUGAUAUUUAGCCUCUAUGCGAUAGUUUUUUAGUAAUAACUUCUAACCAUUUGAGACUAAUUUCAUCAUAGUGAAUAAUGGAAUUAGAGCAUUAUGAUAGUCACAAAGUAUAAUUUUUGAGUAAUUGUUACGAAUAUGUGACAAAUUUUUAGUUAUCAUUUGCGACCAUUUAACUAUAGUUUUGUAAUAAUGAGUUACGGUAUUAAGGUGCUAUUUUAGUUAUGACGAUUCUGAGAUACUUUUUUAGUCUGUAAUUAAAACAGUUUGUUAUGUUUUCGUGUCGUAAUUAUUCUGACGAAAUAGUUAUUAGAUAUAUUUGUCGUAACACUUUUUGUCAUAAAUAAAAUUUUUGUGACAAUUGUAUUGCAACUAUUUCUAAAUUAUCACAAAUUCGUAAUAAUGUUUAUACUGUAACAAAAUAUUUUUUAUUAUGACUAAUUAUUAUGUUUUAAUAAAAAAUAUUUUUUUAACAUGUGAAAAAAAGAGAAAAAGAAGAAUUGUACCUUUUUGUUCUACCUAUACAGACACAUAAUGAACCAUUUUAGUUUUUUUUUUUCCGAUAAAGACAUCGUGUCAGCAAUAUAUGAAAACGUGAAGAAUGUUAUAACGAGUAUUUUACUCUUAAGUGAAUAUGAGUUUUAAUACAGAGACUAUAAAUACUAAAGUUUGUACACAUUUUACAUUUAAUGAGAAAUAUACGAUUCGUUUAGCUUAACUCUUUCUCUCUGUCAUCACUCUCAUGGCUCAGCUUCUUGAGCUUGUUUCAGUGAAGAAAGAAUCCUGAUAUGUCGGACUAAUUUCUUUCUUUUUUCGUCGAAAAUUAAAGUAAGAUAUAUUAAUCAAGAAGUAAGAAAGUUAUAGUACAAUUGUUUUGAAACUUCAGUUAUUCAAGAAUAAACAUUGUAAGAAAAGAAAUUACCACAAGUACAAUCAUAUUUAGCACGCUGCUUUGUUACAAAUUCUCCUAGUAAAAGUCAAGCUUAUAUCUUGAAAUCAGUUUGCCAGAAAAGAAUAUCUUGCUUGACAUAAGCUUGCAAUAGAUGUGUUAUGUCGGACUAUUCUAUCACAAAGAAUUACUAGAAAACUUCAUUAUAUAGUCGACUAAUUACAAAUAAUAUCCCAAGCCUGAGUUUACUAAUUACUAGAAAACUUAACUAUAAUAGACUACGUACAAAUAUCACAGAUAAUAGCAUAUGUGAUAUAUGUCACCUACCUGGAGCUGCAUUACCACAUGAUUUUAUGGCCUCUUUUACAGAUUAUUACUAUAAUAUUUUUGAUGUCAAUCAUACCGAUCAGUUAUUUUAUUUUCUAAUAGUAUGCUAGUUUGAAUGGGAUAUAUGUAACCAAAACUAUUAUGCUACAAUUUUUGGUAAAAGAGUCUAUUAUUUAUAAUUCCUUAUUAUGAUUAUGUUAUUGUGUAUAAAUCGUUGUAAUUAAACUUACGAUUUGUUUGUUAUCUCAAGCUUACAGUUAUAUAUAUUUAUAAUUCCUUUUAUUAUGAUUAUGUUAUUGUGUAUAAAUCGUUGUAAUUAAACUUACAAUUUGUUUGUUAUCUCAAGCAUACAGUUAUAUAUAUGUACUAGAUUAGGACUCGUCCGAUGUGCGUGUUUUUAUAUUUUUAAAUAAAAUUAAAUUUAACAAAAAAUAUAUAUUUAAUUUUUUUUAUUGUGAAUAGAAACUAUUUUAAGAAAUAAGAUGAUAAUUUUUAAUUAGAUUAAAGAUUUGUUUAUAUAUUCAUCUUUUGCUUUAAUACACUUAUUUGGAUCUCUAUAUUUUAAAUUUGUUGGUAUAUUUAUUGUUAUAAUAAAGUAAAUUUAAAUUAUAAUAAAAUAAAUUUAGAUCGAUAAAU